rnacentral:lncRNA from 1 species
UGGGAAUUUGCUUAUUGGGCCUCGCCUUCAAGAAUUUGGGCUUUUGUGACUCGUAUCAUUCCCCCCUUCCUCAAAAAGAUUCGUCCUCGAAUCUGAAAAAUCAAAUGAACUCGACUUUCCUCUAUCGAACGGGACUAAUGGCAAUUGAGUCCACACUGCCUCGUCAAAUAUUUGAAACAAAGAUGGACAUGUUUUAAGGCAUUCAGUCGUCUCACAUUGUUCCCACAAACCAUGAAUAAAUUGCGAGUAAUAAAUCAAAUGGUAAACAUAAUCGUCACAAGUAGGUAUUAGAAAAGAUUCACAUGGUUCACAGAGUUGCAUAAUCAUACCAUGCAUUAAUCGACGGUCUAUAGAUUCACUCACACAUGCAUUAUCAAAAACAAGAAUCUUUUUAUCAACCAUCAAAACAGAUAGAUCAUCAAUAAAUAAAAUAGGACAGUCAAGCACGUUUCGAUCUAAGUGUUCAUCAACACAAUCUUUAUCACUAUCCGAGGAGUACAAAAGUGUUUCAAAGGUUUCAAGCAUCUUACCUCGAUAAGCAGAAGAAUAAGGGUCGAUUUUACCUUUUUCAUUUAAAACAAACCUUCGCUCAUCGGGGGCAUAGUGUAGUCGAAUCUUCGUUGUUGAGUUAAUGUUUGUCAAAUGGAACUCAAACUUCAUGUACAACCACAUAAACUGUUUAAGGCACGAAUAUAAAUUGAAAACAAAUUUGGAAAAUUUCGUUACCUUAUUCUCCAAAACAGAUUUGGACAAAUUCAAGGAUUUUACACAAGGUAAAUCAAGAGAAUAACAAAUCACGCUUCUUUUCGUAAUGACUUUAUCAACCACAAUCGAAGAGUAACAAUUAAUCGGAUCAAAAUGAGGGGAUCUUUUAAGAACUAAGUCACCAAAAGUUUUAUCAAUAAUUUUCAAAUCUGCACUGGACUCGGUUUCUAAAAUUUCCUUACCUCGCUUACCUUCGGGAUCAUGUAGUGUGAUUUCAUCUUUGCUUAAGUUGAUCGUAUGAAAGCGUCUUUCAUUUGAGAGGUAUUGAAGUUGAAAGUUAUCUUUCGAUCUUUCGGGAACCUGAAAAGUAGCAACACAAGAAAAAUUCAUAUCUUGGUUAGUUGAAACAUUCCUCACUAGCCUUUCCUCGUCUUUUUCUUUUGUUUCUUUUUCUAACUCAUUUUCUCUUCUUUCUUUAACUUCUUUUUCAAUUUUCUUUUCUGUUUCACAUUCCUUUUCACUCUCAAUCUCUUUUUGCUCUUUUUCAUUCUCUUUUUCUUUUUCCUCACUUGUUUUAACAAAAUUUUUCAGUUUGAUUUGGUCCUCAUGGACUUGUUCUAGAGUGAGCGGCACUAAGGUGAGUUUCUUUCCUUGAUGCUUGAGAGAAUACCUAUUGGUACGACCAUCGUGAGUGACUUUUCGAUCUAGUUGCCACGGUUCUCCUAGCAACAAAUGGUAGGCUUGAAUAGGCAUUACGUCGCACACAACUUCGUCUUGAUACUUACCGAUAGAAAAGGCGAUGCGCACUUGUUGAGUGACCCUAAAUUGGCCUUCGUUGCUAAGCCCUUGUAGUUGAUAAGGUUGUGGAUGCUUGGUAGUGGUUAAGCAAAGCUUUUCCACCAUCGUCGUGCUGGCUAUGUUCGAGCAACUUUCACCAUCAAUAAUAACUCUACAAAGCUUACCUUGUACGUGGCAGCGAGUAUGAAAGAGAUGUUCUCGUUGCUGCUCACUCUUUGGUUUUGCCAAAGAUGAUUGUCCAUGAUCAUGACAAUCAUCAUCCAUUCUAGGGACACGUUGAGGGUUGCACCUAUGGGGCUGGUUAUCCCUAUCUUCCUUAAUUGGAUCUCGAUAUUGAUGUUUUUGAUUCACUCGUACCUCAUUCAAAGUAGUAUUCAAUGCUUGAAGUGUAGCAUUUAUUUGUGUGAUUGCAGCAGUAUGUCUGUCUAACUGUUGUUGGACUUUCAUAAGUGCAUCAUUAUUAUCACCUUUAGACAUCUUCAAAACCUGUAAAAAAUAAACACUCAACACUCAAAAAUAAAAGUUAGCAAACCUCACCAUUAAUCACUCAAAAAGAAAAAUCAAAUUCUCAAUGAGGUCGAAUUCAAUCUUGUGAGUUCUUUAUCAGAGUUUAUAUCAACCAAUUAGAGAGUGUGAACCAAACUACCAAAGAAUCCUAAUUUGCACUAGGAUGUCAAAAACUGACGAGACACCAAGUGAUUCGUGUUGCACCGAGGAAGGAUUGUGCACACGUUUAAAUCCUACUAACACAAGAAACAAGAAGGUGUUAGAUAUUUUAAAAGGAUAAUAAAAAGCAAACAAAUGAAAACCUACAGCUAAGAAUCAAUAAAAAUUGCUGAAAACAGAAAACCCGAAAAACUGUGGAGUAACUUGACAACUUCGUUCGAGGUGUUCCUGAUCUCAAAAAAUCACAAAAUUAAAUCUUGAAUGUCCUUAAAUAUUUAAUUUUUGAUCUGGAAAGUUUGGGCACCAAACUCAACCCGCUGAAUUUUUUUAAAAUUUUUAUUUGAUUUCGUCUUUUUUUCGAUUUUUUUGACUUUUUGACUGAUUUUUUUGCGGGAAUAAUUUUUUUAUAUUCAAUCACAGUGCCAAACACAUGUAUGUAAAAUUUCAGAUCAAUUGGACAACGUUUACCCACUCAAAUGAAUUUUUUUGAACAAUUUUUCUGGGUAAAACUGCUGUUUAUGCUUUAAAAAAUAGAGAUCAGUUUAGAAAUCAACCAAGAACACCCAAAACGCCCAAAAUCUGAUACCAAAUGAUACGGGGUUGCGCGCGGACCAAGAUCGAGUUGCCAAGCCACGAGAAACUCCUACGAAAACCCUAAACAAUUAGAUCUAAAACGAAACAGAAAAUUAAAAGAUUAGAUUUUUAAAUUUUCAGAUCUGAAAUAAAAUCCCCAAAACAGUAAAGAAUCAAAUAGAGAAUAGAAAUAAGUGUUAAUAAAGAAUCUUGAAACCCUAGAAGAGAUUACGAUUCUGCCCAAUUGAACACCCAGAUAGUUUUCCCCAAAUUUCGGCAAUCUAAUUUCUCCCAAAAAAGAGUAUGGAUGAAUCGGCAAGAACCCUAGAAAUUGGGGAUUUUUGGGCUAAUUCCUUAAGAUAGAAAAAGGCUGAAAACACAAUAAGAACAGAAAAUAAAUUAGAUAAAGAUUCGGCACAAGCAGAAAUAAAGAAAGAAUUGACAAUAAGAAAUUAAAAGAUAAGUCCUAAGAAGCCUUGAAAUCCCGAAAGAUCUCACAACUCCCUUCAAACGGCUCUAAUCUCCCCUCCAAAGAAUAUCAAUGGCAAGAAGAAGGUUGAAGAUGGCUCCCACAAUCAAAAAGAUUGUUAAAACAACUUCUAAAGAAAACUCAAGAGAGAAAUCUUGGAGAAAACUCAAAGAAAAUUCUGCUCUCAACAAAUCUGAAAUUUUAAUAAUAAUGAUAAGUGUUUAACAAGGUGGACAGCCAUGCCUUUAAAUAGGCCUUAUAACUAGUCCUAAUCUAAUUAGAAAACUAAAAUAAAAAAAACUCCUAAUUAUUUUAAUAUGGAAAUUCGGUCAAAGGUCAUUUUAUCUGGGACUCUUGGACUGAAUAUUGACAUAAAAAUUUAAACAAAGUAAAUAAAUAAAUAAAUAAAUAAAAAUAAAAAUAAAACUUUACAACUUGGGCCACUUUGACAAUUUGGCCUGAUUUUCAACUAAGUAUGGAUGGAUUUCUUGAUUGGGCUGGGAAUUUGCUUAUUGGGCCUCGCCUUCAAGAAUUUGGGCUUUUGUGACUCGUAUCACGCAACGUUUCGGAUUGGUUGUCUUCCACCUCCUUCUGCCGUAUUUUGUUUAGGACUUUAGACAUGAAAUUAAAACCUCACAGCAAAAACCUCACGAAUCUCUCGAAAAGAAAAGAUGGUGUCACUCACACUCGUGUUUGCACUCGUUCUUGGCUUUUAACUUGAUGUAACUCUCGUGCCUUUUUCCACUCAAUUUCCUCUCGUGAUUUUGUAGUAGACUCGAUGUGACAAUAUCUUAGUCUAGAGGAUCGGCUUCAAAUUGGUUCACAAGGACUUGAUGAUAGGUUAUGGGUAGGCUAAAAGAAACAAUAAAGGCUUUAGGCUAAGUGUGGCGUAGAAGAAUAGAAGAUGAGUAGAAAGAAGUAUCAGACUUACAACCUCGAAACACUUCCUCAAUUUCAACACUUGAAUCACAACACCUUUUUUUUUUAAUUCACGAAUUUUUUUUAAUUUCAAUUCACUUUUUUUAAUUUCGUAUAUAUAUUCAAAUUUCAAAUUUUUUUUUCAAAUUUUUUUACGUACCUAUUUCAAAAUGUCUUCGAGUUCUUGUACUUCUCGUUUUAACCAGCUCUGAUACCAAAUGAUAUGACCUCAGUUUAAUAAUAAUUUCGAGUUGUUUAGUUCUCGAUCGUAAACGAAGAAGUAUAAUAUAAAAGAAGAAGAGAAAAUAUAAUUGAAUUCAAGAAAUCAAGUAGGUUCGAUUAAAGAUGGAUGUGGAUUUGGUUUAAAGUAAGAAUGGUAUGAUUAGGGAUGGUCGAGUUCGAUUUUAGGAUUAAUUAAGAAAUGGAUUUGGUUUAGGUUUGGAUUGAAAUUGGGAAUUGGUUUGGGUUUGGUUCGAAAUGGUAAUGUAAUUUGGUACGAAAUGGAAAUGGUUCAAAAAGGUCAAGAGUGAACCAACACUAAAAAAGAGUGUUGACCCGAAACUUAUAGGACCUAAAUGAGUUGAAAUGGUUGAUAGGGACCUUGACCCGAUACUUAGGAAAGUAUGAACCAAAAGUAUUACGGGUGAAUGCCACACUCGGGUUUAGGGAGUGAUAAGUUGAAUAAAAGACUCGGAAAGACGCCACUAGUAGCUAGAUAAGUCUUACGGGUCUUGAACGAAAUUUGAGAGAAAAUGCCGCACAAAUUUGGCAGCAAUUCGUUAAUUAAAAUGUCAAAAGUCCUUUACAAAGUAAAAAUUUAGCUAUUUAUAAUCAGCACCUAAGCUAGCCGAAUGGUCACUUACAUUCCUUAAAAAUUAAGCAAAUGAAUCACUUAAUUGAACUAGAUAGAUUUGGCUGAACAUGGAGCUCCACUAGUCACCUUCUAAAUGGAACAAUGGACUUGGAAGAACUUGGAUGAUGCAUGGAUUGCUAGGUUCGGCCAAUGAGAAUAAAUUAGCUCAUUUAUGUUACAACUUUUGGCUGAAAAGUGACCAGCAAUUAAGACGGUAAUGAGCAGCCAAUUCAAAUGUGAAAACUCAACAUUGAAGAGUCAUGGAGUGUGAACACAUGGAGCCGAAAAGCCAAGAUGCAUCCAGCAAAUGUGAAAGGAUUAAUUGGCAGCUUUGGAGUUGGAAACAUUAGCUCCCUUGGCCGAAUAGUCACCUAGGAAUGUUGAAUUCAGCUCACCAAUUUGAUGCAUGUAUCGCUAGGUGCAAUGUACCUAUCAUGCAUGCACCUUGCUAAAUGAAUCUCCACAUUCGGCUAACCUUGCUAAAUGAACCCCCACAUUCGGCCAACCUACAUAAAUAAGAUGAACUAAUAUUAAUGUGAUAUUUAGUUGAACAAAAUUAAGAAUAAAACCUUGACACAUUAAUUCGGUCAACAAUGACACUAAAAUCAGUUCAUUAAAUUCGGCAGCCUUAAUUCAAAAUUAAAUCAUGUAAUAAAACUUGACAUAUUAAAAACAUGCAUAAAACAUAUUAAUAAGUUGUAAUAAACUAAUUUAGUUGACUCAAAUAAAUAUUUCAGCUACUAUAUUAAUGUCUAGUUGAUAUUGAGCUGAAUUGUAAGUGUUUGAGCUGAAAUUGAGCUGAUUCGAGCUCAUUGAGCUGGAAUGGAAGUUAAUUCAACUCGUAUUAGAGUGCAAGGAAUGCUCAUCGAGUUGGUCCAAGCUUCUUCGAUGUGCCCAACCAAAAUCUCACCCCAAACUUUGUCUACCAAAGCCGAAAUAGCCUCCUUGAAUUGUUUAGCUCGUGAUCGGGUGAUAGGACCUUGAGGCAGCUCCAAAGGUUCGUUGUUCGAGCUAGGUAGGACUUGAGGCAUGGCCGUAUCACCAAGAGAGAAUUCUUGGAGAAAAACUCAAAGAGAAUUCUGCACUUAAACAAAUCUGAAUUUUUUGAUAUAUUUGAGGAGUGAAUAACAAGGUGGCUGGCCAAGCCUUUAUAUAGGCCUCUCAAGUGUUUUCCUAAUCUAAUUAGAAAACUAAAAACAAAAAAACUCCUAAUUACUUUAAUAUUUAAAUGGAAAUUUGGCCAAGGGCUUUUAAUUGAGCCUCUUAGACUGAAUAUUUACAUAAAAAUUUAAACUAAGUAUUAAAAAAAUAAAACUUUACGAAUUGGGCCACUUAGACAAUUUGGCCUGAUUUUCAAUUGAGUAUGGGUGGGCUUCUUGAUUGGGCCUGGAAUCUUCUCAUUGGGCCUCGCCUUCAAGAAUUUAGGCUUGUGAUCCAUCUCCUACCGAAAUUGGGCCGUUGAUGCUCGUAACAGAUAUCCAAUGCACUUUGGCUACAAGAUUCGGUUUCUUGGACCAAGAUUUCCAAGAUUUGAAAUAUUGAUUUUCUCGAUUCUUGAAAUCGCUCCGAACAGCAAAAUUGGGCCAAGAUUCGGUUUCUUGAUUUUCUUGAAAACAAGAAAGUGAAUCUUGAUUUUCUUGUUCUUUCGCGUACGCAUCUAAGGCCUUGCUAACAAAUUCUUGAAUGAUCCCAUUUAGUUUGGAACGCAUUUGUCGGGCCUUUGAUCUCGUAUCAGACAUUUUUUUUAAACUUCGAUUUUUUUUAAUACUCCAAUACAAUAGUAAGCUAAAUACAAGAGAACUUGGUUCUAUAAAUAGUUGUGUUUAUUUUCAUUGUAAAGAACUUUUGACCUUUUUUUUGAAUGAACUAUUGUUCCUGUGAGGUUUUCUCCUCUCCAAUUUCGUACGAGUCUCGAGUGACUUAUCUAGCGAGCUAGUGGCGUCAACCCGACUUUUUGAACUUAUCACCAUCCUGAUGUGGCGUUCAUCCACCUUUUUAUACCUUUGGUUCUUACUUCUUCAUAAGUAACGGGUCAAGGUCCAUCCUCGAUAUUCCAUUUAUUCCACCUUAAGCAAUAUAAGUCCCGGGGCAAUAGUUCACAUAGUAUUGAAUCGAUCUUGACACUUGAGUUUGUAUUUCCAUUUAAUUUUUAUUUAUCAAUCUAUAAGUUAUUUUCUUUGUUAAACCAAAAUCUAUUGAUAGAGGGUUGCGCGUGGACCAAGAUCGAGUUGUCAAGUCACGAGAAACUCCUACGAAAACUCUAAACAUUUGGAUCUGAAACGAAACAGCAAAACUUAAUUAGAAUCAAUUAGAUCUGGAAACUAAAAAUCCCCAAAUCAAUAAAGAACAGCCAAGAAUCAAAACACUUAUGAAUAGAUGUUCUUAGAAGCCAAGAACACGAAAUUAAGCCCCAAGAUUAACUUCUAAUCAGCCGAAUCUAUCAAAGAACACAAAACAGAAAAUAAAUUAAAACAGAUUACGAAAUCAAUUGAAACUAAUUCUAGGGAUUGGACGGCAAGAAAAGAGGGGGUUUUUGUGAAAUAAAAAACGUUUCUUUAUGUCCAAGGAAGGGUCGAAUCAGAUCUUGGAGUUUUGGAAAGGCUGAAACGCAACAAGAACAGCAAACAAAUUAGCUAAUAAAAAUCGACACAAGCAGAAAUUUAAUAGAAAUUGAAUAGCAAGAAGGUAAAGAUAAAGUCCUAAGAAGCCUUGAAAUCGAUAAAGAUUUCACAACUCCCUUCAAACGGCUCUAAUCUCCCCUCCAAUGAAGAACAAUGGCAAGAAGAAGGCUGAAGAUGGCUUCCACAAUCAAAAAGAUUGUUAAAACAACUUCUAAAGAAAACUCAAGAGAAAAUUCUUAGAGAACUCAAAGAGAAUUUUCACUCAAAGCAAAUCUGAAAUUUUUAAUAUAUUUGAGAAGUAUAAUGUGUAUAAGGGUGGCUGGCCAAGCCAUACAUAUAGGCCUUCUAACUAUUUUCCUAGUCCUAAUAGGAAAACUAAAAAAAAACCUAAUUUUUUUUACUUUCAAGGGAAUUUCGUCCAAGGCCCUUAAUGGGCCUCUUUGGGCCAAAUUUUUACAUAGAAAUUUAUUUAUAAAGUCUAAAAAUUAAAACUAAGUAUUUAAAGAAUUAAAAUUUUACAAAUUGGGCCACUUUGACAAUUUGGCCUGAUUUUCAACUAAGUCUGAUUUAAAUUUCAGGAUUGGGCUUGGAACAUCUUAUUGGGCCAUGUCUUCAAGAACUUGGGCUUGUAAUCCGUUCUCUCCCAAAAUUGGAUUGUUAAUGCUCGUAACUGAGAUCCAAUGCACGUUAGUUGUAAGAUUCGGUUUCUUGGGCAAGAUUUCCAAGAUUUGAAAUCUUGAUUUCCUUGAUUCUUGAAAUCGCUCAAAACAACAAAAUUGGACCAAGAUUCGGUUUCUUGAUUUUCUUGAAAACAAGAAAGUGAAUCCUGAUUUUCUUUUUCCUUCGUAUACACAUCUAAGGGCUUUGUGACUCGUAUCAUUCCCCCUUCCUCAAAGAGAUUCGUCCUCGAAUCUGAAAAAUCAAAUGGAGAUAAGUCAACCACAUUGAAAGCAGAACUUGUAGUCCAAACAUAAGCAUAACAAAACAAGUAUAACGCAUGCGAAUGGAUAGAUUUAGAUUACCAUGCAAACAAGCUAAUUUACUCGCCAAUGCCUCGUCAAAUAUUCGAAACAAAGAUGGACAUGUUUUAAGGCAUUCAAUCAUCUCAAAUUGUUUCCACAAACCAUGAAUAAAUUGCAAGUAAUAAAUCAAAUGGUAAACGUAAUCAUCACAAGUAGGUAUGAAAAGGUUCACACGGUUCACAGAGUUGCACAAUCAUACUAUGCAGUAAUUGACGGUCUAUAUAUUCACUCAAACAUGCAUAUCAAAAACAAGAAUCUUUUUAUCAACCAUCAAAACAGAUAGAUCAUCACUAAAUAAAAUAGGACAGUCAAGCACAUUUCGAUCUAAGUGUUUUAGAAAAAUUAAAUCAUCAACACGAUCUUUGUCACUAUCCGAGGAGUACAAAAGUGUUUCAAAAGUUUCAAGCAUCUUACCUUUAUAAGCAGAAGAAGAAGGGUCGAUUUUACCUUUUCCAUUUAAUACAAACCUUCGCUCAUCGGGGGCAUAGUGUAGUCGAAGCUCUGUUGUUGAGUUAACCUUUGUCAAAUGGAACUCAAACUUCAUGUACAACCACCUAAAUUGUUUAAGGCACGACUAUAAAUUGAAAACAAAUUUGGCAAAUUUCGUUACCUUAUUCACCAAAACAGAUUUGCACAAAUUCGCAGAUUUUACACAAGGCAAAUCAAGAGAAUAACAACUCACGCUUCCUUUCGUAAUGACUUUAUCAACCACAAUUGAAUUAAUCAGAUCAAAAUGAGUGGAUAUUUUAAGAAUUAAGUCACCAAAAUUUUUAUCAAUAAUUUUCAAAUCUGCACGGGACUCGGUUGAUAAAAUUUCCUUACCUCGCUUACCUUCGGGCUCAUGUAGUGUGAUUUCAUCUUUGCCUAUGUUGAUCGUAUGAAAGCGUCUUUCAUCAGAAAUGUAUUGAAGUUGGAAGUUAUCUUUCAUAUGUGGCCAAUGGAAGUGUUCUAUCCCACACAAAGGUGGUAAACCUUUAGGGGCUGAUACAGCCACGCCCCGAGUGCAUUUUUUGGACCAGCCCCAUAAUUAUUGUGUGCACAUCCAUGCGAGCUGAAUUAGCUCAAUGCCAUCUCGCUGAGCUCCGUUUAGCUCGUUUCUAGCUCAAUGGGCUCGUUUUGCUCAUUUUGAGUUUAUUUUAAUUUCAUUUGCUGAAAUAACUUGAAUAAGUUAGUUUAUUUAUUUAUUUCAGCUCAAAUAAGUGUUAGUAUUAAAUUUGAUAAAAUUGGACCUUUUAAUUAGAUGUUUUAAAUAAGUUUUAUUUUAUGUUUUUAAUGUGUCCUAUUUUCAUACAUAGCAAAAAUAUGUCUAGGCUAUUAUGAUGUGACCACGCCCCAAGCCCCAUCAAGUCCUCGUCUUGAUUCCCUCGAGCUUCUAAACGGACCAAUGACCCGAGCUAGGUCCAAGCGAUUUCAUGAAGUUGUUUCAGCUUUGUUGUUCAAGUUUUGGAAGGAGAAUCAGCUUGUUGAAGAUGAGGAAGCUCGAUCCAACUCCUUGAAGAAACCAUGCACCUUAGUGCAAGCUAAUUUCAGCUCAAUUCCAGCUCCCUUAGCUCAAUUCGACUUUAAUAAGCUCACUUGAGCUCAAUUCCACCUAUUAGAGCUCAAUUUAGCUUCUUUCCAGCUCGUUAAUUUUAUUAUUUGAAUAAUUUGAGUGAUAGUUUUAUUUUAAUUAUUUUUGCUACAGCUCAUAACCGAAUUUUCUAGCUCAAUUCAGCUCAUCAAGAAUUUCGACUAUCAUUGAGCUAGCCGAAUUUAUUAUUAAUUAUAUUUUAUUUAUGUCUUUAUUUUAAUUUGUUAAAUAUGUCUUGAUAUUAUUUAAUUUAAGCUGAAUGUACCUUGAAUCUAAUUUGUUUAUAUCUUUUGUAGGUACAUCCACAUGUGGGAACACAAUUAAUGAGGAUUCAUGAACAUUUAUGGUUCAAAGUAUGUUCGGGUACAUGCAUGACUACCUACAACGAAUGGUUGCCUUAAAGAUGAUGCAUGAAUGAUUUAAUACAAUGAAUGGAAGAAUGCAUGAAUAUUCACUUACAUGCAUCGGUUGCUGUCCAUUGAUUCCUAAGUACCUAUUCGACCAAAAGGCAUCUCUUGGAGUGUCCAUUCACACCUUGGCCGAACCUAGACAUGUCCAUUGCUCUCCCAUACAUUCACCAAGCCUUCAAGUUCAUUUCCUUAGCCAUGAAGCUGCCCAUUGAAGUACCAUUCAGCCGAAUUUGGACAUAGCCUUUAAAGAUACAUUUCUAGAUUAGUUUAAUUCAAUUAAAGCCGAAUUUACUUAGUCUAUUUGGCUAUCUAAUGUAAUCUAUAAAUAGUUCUUUUCUCUUUGUAAAAAGGUUAGACAAUUCUGAUUAUUAAACUUGAUUGUGAGGUUUCCUCCUAUCCUAUUUCGUACGAGUCUCGUUCUGACUUAUCUAGCUCGCUAGUCGCGUCAAACCGACUCCUUGAACUUAUCACCAUCCUGGUGUGGCGUUCAUCCACCUUUUUAUACCUUUGGUUCCUACCUCUCUAUAGGUAACGGGUCAAGGUCCAUCUUCGACUUCCAUUAAACCCACCCUAAGCAAUAUAAGUCCCGGGGCAAUACUUUACAUGGUAUUGAAUCGUUCUUCGCUUGAGUUCAAUUUCCAUUCCAUUUUAUCUAUCUACUUAAACUUUAUUUUCUUUGUUAAACCGAACCUAUCCAUUCUCCAAACCAAGCCAUUUUUGAACCUUUUUAAUUACUUCCGCUUAAAACAACUCCAUAAAGUUAUCUCCAUUCGACAUCAACCAAUACUUCUCGUCGACGAUCGGGUAACUUAAAUGAACUCGACUCCAUCAACCGAGCCGAAUCACAUCAUUUGGUAUUAGAGCUACUAAAACGAGGAGCGCCGACAUUCGUAAUAAGGCCGCAAGUAGGUUCGAAACGUGAAAAAAAUCAAAAAAAAAUUGAGUUGUAAUUUAUUUUUUUUUCCCUUGUAUUUAGCUUACUAUUGUAUUGGAGUAACAAAAAAAAUCAAAAAAAAAUUCGAAAAAAAAUUUGAUUGAAAAAAAAAAUUCAAAAAAAGUGAAAAAAAAUCGAGCAAAAAAAAAGAAAAAAAAAGGUGAGCAAAAAAAAUCAAGUUAAAAAAAAGUGAAAAGUCUUGCGAGUUUUUAUCUUCUUCUCUUAUUUACUCCGAUCAUCAAGUUUCCCUUCCUACCAUUAUUUACCCAUUCCAACGCCGCACUUAGCCUUGAUUUUAUUUUGUUUAGCCUACCCUACACCCACAUCAUUCCUUUGUAACCUAUUUUGACACCGACCCUCAAGCAGCAAAUUAAGUCUAUCGAGACGAAUUACAAAAUUAUGAGACGAGGUUGAGAGGUAAAAGGCAUGUGUGUUUUACAUCAAAGAAAAAGCCUAGAAGAGUGUAAACACGAGCGUGUGCAACAAAUAUUUUUCUUUCUGAGUGAACCGUGAGUUUUUGUAAGUGAGGAAAAUUUUACUUAUGUCUAGAAGUUUUAAUGAAAAUAUGGCAGAAAGACAACCCGUACGAAAUGUGCCAGAUUUAAAUAUGCAAGCAAUGUUGCGCGAGUUUGAACGAUUAUUUGAUAAAAAAUUGGAACCAAUUCAAGAUCGUCUUGAUCAAGUGGAAAUGAGAGGCCGCCGAGGAAGGACUCCUCUAAGUCCACCUAGAAAUCGAAGACAAUUUCAAGACAAUAAAGUUUCUGAACCAAGUGGGGCCGAAAGUGAUCAAGGUUCAAACGUUAGUGAACGAAGGAGAGGUCGACGACAUCAUGGAUCACGAGAACAAGAAAGGUAUGAUGACGAUCUUAAAAGUAUUAAACUAACUAUUCCUCCUUUCCAUGGACGUUCAGAUCCGGAAGCUUAUUUGGAAUGGGAGAAGAAAAUUAAGUUAGUGUUUGAGUGCCACAAUUAUUCCGAGGCAAAGAAGGUUAAAUUGGCAGCCAUUGAAUUUUCAGAUUAUGCAAUGAUUUGGUAGGACCAAUUUGUCAUGAGUCGAAGGUGAAAUGGCGAGCGUCCUAUCACCACUUGGACCGAGAUGAAAGCUGUGAUGCAGCUGAUACUAUCUUGGUUUAGUAGUUGAGUCUGAGUCGUUUAGUUCCCGAUCGUAAACGAAGAAGUAGAAUAGACGAGAAGGAGUUAGAAUAUAUUUGUGUUCAAAGAAGUAAGAUAAGUUCGUGCAAAGUUGGAUGUGGAUUUGGUUUAAGUCGAAAAGGUAUGAAUAGAAUGGACGAGUUCGGUUUAGGAUAAUUAAGAAAUGGUAUUUGGUUUUGGUACGUUUUGGUAUUUGGGAAUUGGUUCGAAAUGGUAUGGAAUUGGUACGAAAUGGUAUGGUAUUUGGUACGAAUUGGUAAUGGUUCAAAGAGGUCAAGAAUGAACCAACACUAAAGAAAAGUGUCGACCCGAAACUUAUAGGACCUAAAUGAAUUGGAAAUGGUUGAAAAGGACCUUGACCCGAUACUUAGGAAAGUAUGAACCAAAGGUAUCAAAGGUGAAUGCCACACUCGGGUUUAAGGAGUGAUAAGUUCGGAAAAGACUCAGAAAGACGUCACUAAAAGCUUAGAUAAGUCUUACGGGUCUCGAACGAAAUUUGAGAGAAAAUGCCUUACAAAUUUGGCAGCAAUUCGCUAAUUAAAUUGUCAAAAAGUCCCUUACAAAGUGAAAAUUCAGCUAUUUAUAAUAAUCCACUAGGCUAGCCGAAUGGUCACUUAAAUUCCUUAAAAAUUAAGCAAAUGAAUUACUUAAAUGGGCUAGCUAGAUUCGACUGAACUUGGAGCUCCAAUGGUCACCUUCUAGAUGGACAAUUGAACUUGGAGCUUGAGGGAGUAAAUGGCAGCAGCUACAUUCGGUUGAUGUGCUUAAAGGAGCUCAUUUAAUUGGCAACUAUUGCUGAAAAAUUACCAGCAAUUAAGAAGAUGUUGAGUAGUCACUUUGAGUGUGAAAACCAAGUUUUGAAGAGUCUUUGAAUGUGAACACCUUGAUCCGAACAGCCAUGAUGUAUUCAACAGUGUGUAAGCAAUAAAUUCGGCUGAAUGGUCACUUAGGAGACUUCAAACAGCAGCCAACUUCAUUCUCCCAUUCAUGCAUGUGCCGUCCCCUUCAUGUACCCUCUUUUAAUACCUUUCAUGCUCCAAAAACGUUCAUGGAUGAUGUACCUGCAGCAACAUUCAUCAAAUAAUUCAAAUUCAUGUUUAGACACAUUAAAUUAACACUAAAAUGCUGCACAUUAAAUUCGGCAGCCUUAGGACAUAAUUAAAACAAGUAAUAAAGUUAACAUAUUAAAAACAAGCUUAAAAACAUAUUUAUAAGCUGUAUAAAUUAAGACAAAAUUAAUAACAUGUCAUAAUAACUAAAAUAUCAUGCAUAAUUAAGUUUGACCAGAUUUAAGACCAAUUUAAUAACGAAAAUUAAUUAAGCUUGUAAAUAACUAAUUUAACUAACUCAAUUAAUUAUUUCAGCUACUAUAUUAUUGACUAAGUUAUUUUGAGCUAAUUUUGAACUGGUUCGAGCUCAUUGAACUUGAAGGAGCUGGAAAUGAGCUAAAUGAAGCUCCACAAAAAUAAAAUUGAGCUACGUCCAGCUUGUAAAAACGAUGAGCCUCGCUUGUAGGCUGAAACAAUAGCCGUUCCCGGGGGUGGGUCGUAUCAUCCCCUCCCUCUUUAAAGCGAUUUUUCCCCAAAUCGGGCCACUUGCUCGCGAAGAAACUUCUAUUAACAAAGACCCCUUGGUUGUUGAAUUUGACAAACUUGUGCCCAGCAACCUGAAAUUCAUGAAUAGAUUGAAAAUAACACUGAUUAGUUACUUGCCCUCCCUCUUUAAGGCAAAGCCACUUCAAAGUGUCACCUACACAAUAAAGAAAAUUAUGAAUGACACAAUGAACUAAAAACUUGCAAACUCUUUCCAAAUUUUCAAUCAUAAUUAGAGCAAAAGAACUAUUGCCGAAUUCAAAAAUAUAGAUAAGCCUUACCUUUCCACAUUGAUUUUCCAAAUUCAUCAAGGAACUAGACAUGGGAAAUAAUUCCACGAAUAUGAACAGUUCAUGCAAAUAAACACAUACCCCACAACACACUCUAUCAAAUGGAUUCGAAGACUCAUGAAUCAAACAAUUAAAUCGAUUGGUCAAAUCUUCACCAUGAAAAAUCCCAUCCAAUGGACGAAUAGAUGUUAACGAAUAACCACAAAUCCAUAAAAAGUCUUUUAAACAAAUAUGUGAAAAAAAUAUUAAUCGGCCAAAAGAAACAAGAUCACUUAGUCGAAUCAAGUUUUGCAAAUUUAAACUUAAUAGUGGCCAAUAAUCUUCCACUUCUUCAUCAAACCUGUCAUAUUCACGAAUGUCAUCACCUUUUGAACAAAAUAGAGAUGUUUUUAGUUCUUCAGAAACCAAACCUUGUCUAUCCUUGAGAUUAUGGAUUUGAGGAUCGGUUUUACCAUUCUCUCGCAAUAUGAACCUUCUCUUCUCAGGAAUAUAAUGUAAUCGUAAUUCCUUGCUUGGUUUAACCUGAAAAAAUGAAGAGACAGGAAGACAACGAUUAAUCAAAACAUUUUUCUUUCUCUCACUCAAAUUUCUUUCACUUUCUUUUUCUUUGAUCUUGUUUUUCUCACAAUCUCGAUUCUUUUCUUUUGAAUCAUUUUUCUUUUCUUUUUCACUCUCUCUCAAUUUCUUUUUUUGUUCAUUCAAAUCUUCCAAGGAUUGCUUUAAUCAUUGUUGAUCUUCCAUCACUUGUUGUGGAGACAAGGGGGCCAAAGUGAUAUUUUUGCCUUUGUGCUUGAAUGAAUUUUGGUUCGAGAACCCAUCGUGCUUGACUCGCCGAUCAAACUGCCACGGCCUCCCAAGCAGUAAGUGGCCCGCAUGCAUGGGUACAACGUCGCACAAAAUCUCGUCUUGGUAUCUUCCAAUUGAAAAGGGAAUCAAUGCUUGUUUGGUUACCUUAAGUUCGACUCCUUCAUUGAGCCAUUGUAACUUGUAGGGACUCGGGUGCUUAAGGGUCGGUAAAGACAACUUCUCGAUCAUAAGUGUGCUUGCAACAUUUGUGUAACUCCCGCCAUCGAUCACAACGUUACAAACCUUUCCAUGAACAUAACAUCGGGUAUGAAACAAAUUCUCGCGUUCCGGUUCACCUAUAGAGCUUUGCGCACUAAGACUCCUUUUAACAAUGAGCAUUUCGCCUUCAACGGCAAACUCUAUCUCAUCUUCGUUAUCAGAAGGAUUGUUAAUCUCUUCUUCAUUCUUGUCUAUGUCCUCCUCCGAUUCUAUUUCACCAUUAGAGAGUAUCACCAUUGUGUUGCGAUUUGGGCAUUGGCUCGCUAUGUGCCCUCUCUGAUACGGGGUUGGGCGCGGACCAAGAUCGAGUUGCCAAGUCACGAGAAACUCCUACGAAAGCUCUAAACAAACAGAUCUGAAAUCAAACAAAGAACGAGAUUAAAUCUGGAAAAUUAAAAUCUGGAAUAAGAACCCUAAAAAUCAGCAAGAUCUAAUCAAGGAACGAAACACUUAUGAAAGAGGUUUCUUGAAACCAAGAACACGAAAUUGAUUCCUAAGAAUGAACUCCCACAAGCCGAAUCUGUCAAAGAACACCAAAUCAGCAAGCAAAUUAGAUCGACCAGAAUUUCUUGAAACAAAUUAGGGUUUAUGCGUCAAUGAGAAAGAAAGAAAUUGAAGGCAUAAAACGGCUAUUGAGGCUGAGAAAGCGAGGGUGAUCUGCUCAAUUGACCACCACGAAAGUUUCCCUUAAGUUUCCACAACCAAAUUCACCCAAGAAGAAUAAGUGUGCAUUCGGCAAGAACCCUAGAAUUUGGGGAUUUAGGGCUGAUUGUCGAACUCCAGCAAAAAGUGAAAUUGAUCAAUUCUUUAAGAUAAACGAGGGCUGGAAACACAAAUAAAACAGCAAAUAGAUUAGAAUUGAGAUUCGGCACAAGUAGAAUUAAAUAAAAGAAAUUGAACAGCAAAAAUUAAAGGAUAAGUCCUAAAGAUCCUUGAAAUCCCAAAAGAUUUCACAAAUCUCUUCAAACGGCUCUAAUCUCCCCUCUAAUGAAUAUCGAUGGCAAGAAGAAGGUUGAAGAUGGCUCCCACAAUCAAAAGAUUGUUAAAACAACUUCUAAAGAAAACUCAAGAGAGAAUUCUUGGAGAAAACCCCAAAGAAACUUCUGCACUCAACAAAUCUGAAAUUUGAUAGAAAAAAUAAUAAUAAGAUGUUUUUACAAAGGGUGGCUGGCCAAUGCUUAUAUAGGCCUCCAACAAAUCCUAAUCUCACAAGUAACUAAUAAAAAAUUAAACCUAAUUAAUAAAAUAACAAGGUAAAUUCGGCCAUGCACUUAUAUGGGCUGUUUUGGGUCGAAUUUUACAUGCAAUGCUCCUAAAGAUUAAAAAAUUAAAUUAAACAAGUAAGAUGUUUACAAAUUGGGCCCUUUGACAUUUUGGCCUGAUUUUCAACUAAGUAUGAAGAAAUUUCUUGAUUGGGCUAAAUUUUGGUUAUUGGGCCUCGCCUUCAAGAAUUUGGGCUCGUGAUCCAUCUCCUACCAAAAUUGGGUCGUUGACACUCGUAAUGGAGAUCCAAUGUGUUUUGGCUGCAAGAUUUGGUUUCUUGGACCAAGAUUUCCAAGAUUUGAAAUCUUGAUUUUCUUGAUUCUUGAAAUCUCUUCGAACAUCAAAAUUGGGCCAAGAUUCGGUUUCUUGAUUUUCUUGAAAACAAGAAAGUGAAUCUUGAUUUUCUUGUUCUCUCGAGUAUGCAUCUAAGGCCUUGCUAACAAGCUCUUGAAUGGUCCCAUUUAGUUUGGACCGCAUUUGUCGGGCCUUUGAUCUUGUUAUUGGGCUUUGUGGCAAUUUGAGCCCAUCACGUUCUUGAACUUGGAUUGGGCCUUUAUGACUCGCAUCAUUCCCCCUUCCUCAAAAAGAUUCGUCCUCGAAUCUGAAAAAUCAAAUGGGGACAAGUCAGCCACAUUAAAAGUAGAACUUACAUUGUACUCACCAGGUCGAUCAAUUUUAUAGGCAUUAUCGUUGAUCCGCUCGAGUACUUGGAAAGGCCCAUCGCCCCUUGGGUCCAACUUAGUCUUCCUUUUUGUAGGAAAUCGUUCUUUCCUCAAAUGGACCCAAACCCAAUCUCCGGGUUCUAGUACAACCCGUUUGCGCCCUUUGUUUGCUUUGUUGGUGUUGGCGUCAUUUGUUUUGGCUAUUCGCUGUCUAGCCUUCUCAUGUAAGGAUUUCACCAACUCAGCUUUCUGUUCGCCAUCUAAAUUCAUAACGUGUUCAAGAGGUAAUGGUGCAAGAUCAAGUACUGUUAGUGGGUUAAAACCAUAAACAAGUUCAAAUGGGGAAUAACUAGUUGUAGAAUGAAUAGAUCUAUUAUAUGCAAAUUCAACAAAUGGUAGGCAUUCUUCCCAAUUUCUAAUGUUCUUUCCCACAACAGCUCGUAAUAAAGUCCCUAAGAUUCGAUUAACUACUUCAGUUUGACCAUCAGUUUGGGGGUGACAUGUAGUAGAAUAAAGCAAUUUAGUACCAAGCUUACCCCACAAUACCUUCCAAAAGUGGCUAAGGAAUUUGACAUCUCUAUCAGAAACAAUUGUUUUAGGGAUGCCAUGAAGUCUUACCACUUCUUUAAAGAAUAAGUCUGCCACAUGUGUAGCAUCAUCUGUUUUGUGACAAGGAAUAAAAUGUGACAUCUUUGAAAACCUGUCAACAACAACAAAUAUACUAUCUCUUCCUUUUUUUGUUCGAGGCAAACCUAAAAUAAAAUCCAUGGAUAAAUCUACCCAAGGUGAAGUAGGAAUCGGUAGAGGAGUGUAAAGGCCAUGAGGCAUUACCUUAGAUUUUGCUUGUUUGCAUGUAAUGCACUUGGAACAUACCUUUUCCACAUCCUUCUUCAUAUGUGGCCAAUGGAAGUGUUCUUGCAAUAUGUCUAGUGUUUUGGCCACUCCAAAAUGUCCCAUUAAUCCCCCACUAUGGGCUUCAUGAAUCAACAAUUCUCUCAUGGAACACUUUGGUAUGCUUAACCUGUUUAAACGAAAAAGAAAGCCAUCUACAAGAUAAAAUUUUUCAAAAGCAGUAUGUCAACAAUUCUUAUAGAUAUGGCUGAAAUCAGUAUCAUCAUCAUAUAACUCUUUAAUAUGUUCAAACCCUAAGACUUUAGCAUUCAAUGUAGUUAUUAAAGUAUAUCGUCUAGACAAAGCAUCUGCGACUACAUUAUCUUUACCUGUUUUAUAUUGAAUCACAUAAGGGAAUGUUUCAAUGAAUUCUACCCAUCGGGCAUGUCUUUUACUCAACUUACCUUGUCCCUUUAACCAUUUAAGAGACUCAUGAUCUGUAUGUAUGACAAACUCAUUAGGCAGUAAAUAAUGUUGCCAUACUUGAAGUGCACGAACUAAUGCCAAUAAUUCUUUGUCAUAAGUCGAGUAAUUUAACUGUGCACCGUUCAAUUUCUCACUAAAAUAAGCAAUAGGUUGCUUAUCUUGCAUUAAAACGGCGCCGAUUCCAAUUCCUGAAGCAUCACACUCAAGUUCAAAAGUUUUAGCAAAAUCAGGUAAUUUAAGCAAAGGAGUAGAACAUAACUUAGCUUUUAGAGUUUGAAAAGCUUUUUCUUGGGUUUCACCCCAUUUGAAACCCACUGAUUUCUUUAUAACUUCAGUCAAUGGGGCAGUAAUAGUAGAGAAAUCUUUCACAAAUCGUCUAUAAAACUGGCUAAACUAUGGAAAGAUCUCACCUCAGUUACCGAUUUAGGAGUCGGCCACUCCUUAAUUGCCUUAACUUUGUCCUCGUCGACAUGAAUACCUUGAGCACUAACUAUGAAACCUAAGAAUAUUAGUUUAUCACAACAGAAUGUGCAUUUAUCAAGGUUGGCAAAUAAUCUUUCAGUUCGUAGAAUAUCCAAAACGGUUCGAACAUGGAAAACAUGAUCAUCUAAUGACUUUGAGUAAAUUAAAAUAUCAUCAAAGUAAACUACUACAAAUUUACCCAAAUGUAGCCUCAAAACAUGAUUCAUUAAUCUCAUAAAUGUACUAGGUGCAUUAGUAAGGCCGAAAGGCAUAACUAACCAUUCAUACAAUCCAAAUUUUGUUUUAAAGGCUGUUUUCCAUUCAUCCCCUUCCCUCAUUCGAAUUUGAUGAUAACCGCUUUUUAAAUCAAUUUUUGUAAAUAUUAUUGAACCAUGUAAUUCAUCAAGCAUAUCAUCAAGUCUAGGGAUUGGGUGUCGAUACUUUACCGUUAUCUUGUUGAUUGGGCGACAAUCAACACACAUACGAAACGUACCAUCUUUCUUUGGCACCAAUAAGACAGGAACAGCACAAGGACUUAGGCUCUCACGAAUGUACCCUUUGUCUAGUAAUUCCUCAACUUGCCUUUGCAAUUCCUUUGUCUCCUCGGGAUUGCAUCUAUAGGCUGGUCAAUUUGGGAUUGAAGCUCCGGGUACUAAGUCAAUUUGAUGUUCUAUCCCUCGUAAAGGUGGUAAACCUUUAGGGGCCUCACUAAAAACAUCCUCAUAAUCCUGCAAAAGAGAUUGAAACGCACUAGGCAAAUUUUCGUUAAUGUUAGAUAAAGAUAAAUAAUUUUGCCUAAACCUCACAAGGAUACAAGGCUGUUUAUUAAGUAGGGCUCUCUUCACAUCUUUUUUUGUUGCCAAAAGAUUUUUUCCGCUCAUUUUACCACUAGAGGAUUCACUCACCUUCGGGCUUUUUAAAUUUUGACUUUUUCCACUACUAUUAGCCUCUUUUCUCUCUGUCUUUUGUACUUGCUCUUUCUCCCUUACCCCCUCACAAAAUUUUAUCAUCCUCAAUUGAUCUUUAUAUACAUCAGUAGGAUUUAAAGGAGCAAAAGUGAAUUUCUUGCCUUUAAAUACAAGGGAGUAUCGAUUAAGUUUACCUUGGUGUGUAACAUCGCGAUCAAAUUGCCAAGGUCGUCCAAGGAGCAAGUGUGCCGCAUGCAUGGGGACUACAUCACACCAUACGUCAUCCUCAUAAUUGCCGAGUUUAAAAGUGACCAAGGACUGUUUCGUAACUUUAACUUCGGAACAUUCAUUAAGCCACUGAAGGUGACAUGGCUUAGGGUGUUUGGUACAAGGAAACUUUAAAGAAUCCACCAAAUAACUACUCACUACAUUCGAGCAACUCCCACUAUCAAUAAUGAGUGAACAUAAGUUACCUUUAAUAAAACACCGAGAAUGGAAAAUAUUGGUCCUUUGGCUCUCAUCAUCUUUCAUCUGAAUGUUAAGGGUUCGGCGAACUACAAAGCAAUGGAAAUUAGCAAAGUCCCCUUCUUUUGGUGGUUCGACCAACUCUUCGCCAUUAUCACUGUCAUCCAUAAGUUCUGGCAUAUCUGGAUCUGUUUUAUCAGAAUCGGAAGUGUACUCACCAUUAUCUUUCAGAAGAAGUAAUCUCGUGUUAGGGCAUUCCCUACUAUAAUGACCACGCCCUUUGCACUUAAAGCACUCAAUCUCACGAGUCCUCUUCGCACUCGAAUCUCCUAAAUUGGGCUGCUUAGAAGGUGUUUGCGUUUUAACAGGAGCCCCUUUUUUCCAAUCUGAUUGCUUGCUUCCAUUACUCAAAGAAGGCUUGUUAGUAACGAAAGGUGAUUUUGAGCUCUUAAAAUCAGAAUUGGAAUUGUUACCUCGGUAAUAUUGCGAAGUCGAGAAGGAACCAAACCUUUGUUCCUUUAGUUGUUGCUCGAUCUCAACGGCUUUAUGAACUGCUUCUUCCAAAUCAAUGUAAGUUUGUAGCCUCAAUGUAUUAGCUAUCAGCCUGUUCAAACCAUCAAUAAAUCGAACCAUAGUUGUUUCUUCAUCCUCCUCCACAUUAGCUCUCUGAAUGAGCAUCUCCAUCUCUUUAAAAUAUUCAUCCACUGUCCUACUACCUUGGAUAAGUCUUCUCAGCUUUGUUUUAAUUUCUCUAUAGUAGUGAGGUGGAAUAAACCUUUUACGCAUAAUCUGUUUCAACUCAUCCCAUGUCGAAAUCUCACCUUCAUAAUUCCGAUGGCGGUUUACCCCAAGUUGAGUCUACCAACUUAAUGCAUAAUCAGAAAAUUCCAGUGUUGCUAACGCUACCUUUUCAUCAUCCGGACAUUUAUAAUACCGAAACAUAAGUUCAAUCUUAGAUUCCCAUUCACAAUAAGCGUCAGGAUCAUUCUUACCACGAAAUUGGGGAAUUGUGAAUUUUGGUUUUGCCAAAGAAGGUUGCCCACGAUCAUGAAAAUCAUCAUCCAUUCUAGUGACACGUCGAGGGCCGCGCCUCUGGGGUUGGUUAUCCCUAUCUUCUUUGAUUGGAUCUCAAUAUUGAGGUUCUUGAUUCAAUUGCACCUCAUUGAUGGUAGCAGUCAAAGCUCGAAGAGCAGCAGCCUGUUCAUCCAACUGUUGUUGGAAUUUUUUAAAUAUGUCACUAUUAUUAUCACCUGUAGACAUUUUUUUUAAAACCUGCAAAACACUCAACACUCAAAAAAAAAGUUAUCAAACCUCACCGUUAAUCACUCAAAAAGAAAAAAUCAAAUUCUCAAUGAGGUCGAAUUCAAUCUUAUGAGUUCUUUAUCAGAGUUUAUAUCAACCAAUUAGAGAGUGUGAACCAAACUACCAAAGAAUCCUAAUUUGCACUAGGAUGCCAAAAACUGACGAGACACCAAUUGAUUCGUGUUGCACCGAGGAAGAAGUUGUGCACACGUUUAAAUCCUACUAACACAAGAAACAAGAAGGUGUUAGAUAACGUAAAGGAAGAAUAAAGGUAAACAAAUGAAAACCUACAGCUAAGAAUCAAUAAAAAUUGCUGAAAACAGAAAACCCGAAAAACUGCGGAGUAACUUGACAACUUCGUUUGAAGUGUUCCCGAUCUCCAAAAAUCACGAAAUUAAAUCUGGAGUGUCCUUAUAUACUGAAUCUUUGAUAUGAAAAUUUUGGGCACCAAAUUCAACCCGCUGAAUCUUUUUUUAAAUUUGUCUUUUUUAAUUUUUUUGACUUUUUUGACUGAUUUUUUUGUGGGAAUAAUUUUUUUAUAUUCAAUCACAGUGCCAAAAACAUGUAUGUAAAAUUUCAGAUCAAUCGGAUAACGUUUACCCACUCAAAUGAAUUUUUUUUGAACAAUUUUUCUGGGUAAAACUGUUGUUUAUGCUUUUAAAAAAAUAGAGAUCAGUUUAGAAAUCAACCAAGAACACUCAAAACGCCCAAAAUCUGAUACCAAAUGAUACGGGGUUGCGCACGGACCAAGAUCGAGUUGCCAAGUCACGGGAAACUCCUACGAAAGCUCUAAACGAACAGAUCUGAAAUCAAACAAAGAACGAGAUUAAAUCUGGAAAAUUAAAAUCUGGAAUAAGAACCCUAAAAAUCAGCAAGAUCUAAUCAAGGAACGAAACACUUAUGAAAGAGGUUUCUUGAAACCAAGAACACGAAAUUGAUUCCCAAGAAUGAACUCCCACAAGCCGAAUCUGUCAAAGAACACCAAAUCAGCAAGCAAAUUAGAUCGACCAGAAUUUCUUGAAACAAAUUAGGGUUUAUGCGUCAAUGAGAAAGAAAGAAAUUGAAGGCAUAAAACGGCUAUUGAGGCUGAGAAAGCGAGGGUGAUCUGCUCAAUUGACCACCACGAAAGUUUCCCCUAAGUUUCCACAACCAAAUUCACCCAAGAAGAAUAAGUGUGCAUUCGGCAAGAACCCUAGAAUUUGGGGAUUUAGGGCUGAUUGUCGAACUCCAGCAAAAAGUGAAAUUGAUCAAUUCUUUAAGAUAAACGAGGGUUGGAAACACAAAUAAAACAGCAAAUAGAUUAGAAUUGAGAUUCGGCACAAGUAGAAUUAAAUAAAAGAAAUUGAACAGCAAAAAUUAAAGGAUAAGUCCUAAAGAUCCUUGAAAUCCCAAAAGAUUUCACAAAUCUCUUCAAACGGCUCUAAUCUCCCCUCCAAAGAAUAUCGAUGGCAAGAAGAAGGUUGAAGAUGGCUCCCACAAUCAAAAGAUUGUUAAAACAACUUCUAAAGAAAACUCAAGAGAGAAUUCUUGGAGAAAACCCCAAAGAAAAUUCUGCACUCAACAAAUCUGAAAUUUGAUAGAAAAAAUAAUAAUAAGAUGUUUUUACAAAGGGUGGCUGGCCAAUGCUUAUAUAGGCCUCCAAAAAAUCCUAAUCUCACAAGUAACUAAUAAAAAAUUAAACCUAAUUAAUAAAAUAACAAGGUAAAUUCGGCCAUGCACUUAUAUGGGCUAUUUGGGCCGAAUUUUACAUGUAAUGCUCCUAAAGAUUAAAAAAUUAAAUUAAACAAGUAAGAUGUUUACAAAUUGGGCCCUUUGACAUUUUGGCCUGAUUUUCAACUAAGUAUGAAGAAAUUUCUUGAUUGGGCUAAAUUUUGGUUAUUGGGCCUCGCCUUCAAGAAUUUGGGCUCGUGAUCCACUCCUACCAAAAUUGGGUCGUUGACGCUCGUAAUGGAGAUCCAAUGCGUUUUGGCUGCAAGAUUUGGUUUCUUGGACCAAGAUUUCUAAGAUUUGAAAUCUUGAUUUUCUUGAUUCUUGAAAUCUCUUCGAACAUCAAAAUUGGGCCAAGAUUCGGUUUCUUGAUUUUCUUGAAAACAAGAAAGUGAAUCUUGAUUUUCUUGUUCUCUCGUGUAUGCAUCUAAGGCCUUGCUAACAAGCUCUUGAAUGGUCCCAUUUAGUUUGGACCGCAUUUGUCGGGCCUUUGAUCUUGUUAUUGGGCCUUGUGGCAAUUUGAGCCCAUCACGUUCUUGAACUUGGAUUGGGCCUUUAUGACUCGCAUCACUCUCCCUUGACACUUAAAACACUUAAUAUCACGUGUUCGGGAUUGAGUAUUUUCAAUGGCCUUACCUUUGCUAGAUUCGGCCACAGACUUGUUGGACUUCAUGGGCACCACAGUUUCUUUUGAUUGAUUCGUUGAAACAUUCUUACUUGCCCCUUGGUUCCACUUAGAUGCAUUCGAAGAGGAAUAACCAUGUACGGCUCCUUUCAUCUUGAGUUGCUUUUCGACCUUGAUCGCCAUGUGAACCAUAUCGACAAUCUCUACGUAGUGUUGCAACUCAACUAUGUUGGCAAUUUCACAGUUAAGUCUGGCUAAGAAACGAGCCAUAGUUGCCUCUCGAUCUUCCUCCACAUCCCCUCGAAUCAUGGCCACUUCCAUCUCCUUGAAGUAAUCCUCCACGCUUCUCGUCCCUUGUGUAAGAUUUUGAAGUUUUUAGUACAACUCCUGAUGGUAGUACGAAGGGAUGAAACGUCGUCGCAUUACAGCCUUCAUCUCGGACCAUGUUUGGAUAGGACGCUCGCCAUUUCGCCUUCGGCUAGUUGUAAGUUGGUCCCACCACACCAUUGUGUAGUCCGAAAAUUCGAUAGCAACCAACUUAACUUUCUUGGCCUCAGAAUAGUUAUGGCAUUCAAAUAUAAGCUCGAUCUUUUUCUCCCACUCGAGAUAAGCUUCGGGAUCCGAUCAGCCUUGGAAUGAAGGGACUGACAACUUAAUGCUUUUCAAGUCAUCAUCGAACCUCCCUCGAUUUCGUUGGCCUCGGUUGCAUAGGCCUCUUCGUUGAACAUUCGCAUUGGACCCUUGAUCACUUUCGUCUUCAAUCGACUCGGAAGAUUCAUCAUCUAAAUCAGAUUGCCGUCCUCGAUUUCUCGGAGGGCUUAAGGGAGUUCUCCUUCGUUGGGCUCUUCCUUCCACACGAUCAAGUCUAUCUUGAAUCAGUUCUAACUUUUGAUCGAACAAUCGUUCCACCUCGCGUAGCAAUGCUUGCAAAUUCAAGUCCGGCAUAUUUCGAACAGGUUGCCUUUCUGCCAUGUUUAUUGUAGGGCUUCUUGAUAUAUGAAAUUAUAACCUCACAACAAAAACUCACAAGUCACUCAAAAAGAAAAUAAUUCGGCACUCCACUCGUGUUUACACUCUUUAAUGGCUUUUUCUUCUCUCUAAUGCUCUCACAACACUCGUGCCUUUUUCCACUCAAUUUCCUCUCGUGAUUUCGUAAGCGACUCGUCGUGACCUUAUCGUAGUUCAAUGGGUCGGCUUCAAAUGGCUUUACAAGGGAUUAAUGUUAGGUUACGGGUAGGCUAAAAGAAACAAGAAAGGCUUUAGGCUAAGUGUGGCUUAAAAGAUGAAUAGAAGAGAAUGCCAAACUUACAAACUCGAAACACUUUUUUUUAUAUCAAUUUUUUUCAAUUGCAUGAAAUUUCACUACGGGGGAUAUAAAAGAGUGUAGAAUGAGAUUUUGGAAAAAAUUCUAUUGAAGUGUCUCCAGACUUUUUUUUUACGAAUCUUUCAUGUUCUUUUCGUCCGCACCUAGACCGUAUACAAUUUUUUUUUUCUUUCAAAUUUUUUUUUGUUUUUUUUUCAAUUUUUUUUCAAACUUUUUUUUUACGUACCAAUUUCAAAAUGUCUUCGAAUGCUCGUACUUCUCGUUUUAACCAGCUCUGAUACCAAAUGAUACGAUCUCGGUUUAGUAGUUGAGUCUGAGUUGUUUAGUUCCCGAUCGUAAACGAAGAAGUAGAAUAGACGAGAAGGAGUUAGAAUAUAUUUGUGUUCAAAGAAGUAAGAUAAGUUCGUGCAAAGUUGGAUGUGGAUUUGGUUUAAGUCGAAAAGGUAUGAAUAGAAUGGACGAGUUCGGUUUAGGAUAAUUAAGAAAUGGUAUUUGGUUUUGGUACGUUUUGGUAUUUGGGAAUUGGUUCGAAAUGGUAUGGAAUUGGUACGAAAUGGUAUGGUAUUUUGUACGAAUUGGUAAUGGUUCAAAGAGGUCAAGAAUGAACCAACACUAAAGAAAAGUGUCGACCCGAAACUUAUAGGACCUAAAUGAAUUGGAAAUGGUUGAAAAGGACCUUGACCCGAUACUUAGGAAAGUAUGAACCAAAUGUAUCAAAGGUGAAUGCCACACUCGGGUUUAAGGAGUGAUAAGUUCGGAAAAGACUCAGAAAGACGCCACUAAAAGCUUAGAUAAGUCUUACGGGUCUCGAACGAAAUUUGAGAGAAAAUGCCUCACAAAUUUGGCAGCAAUUCGCUAAUUAAAUUGUCAAAAAGUCCCUUACAAAGUGAAAAUUCAGCUAUUUAUAAUAAUCCACUAGGCUAGCCGAAUGGUCACUUAAAUUCCUUAAAAAUUAAGCAAAUGAAUUACUUAAAUGGGCUAGCUAGAUUCGGCUGAACUUGGAGCUCCAAUGGUCACCUUCUAGAUGGACAAUUGAACUUGGAGCUUGAGGGAGUAAAUGGCAGCAGCUACAUUCGGUUGAUGUGCUUAAAGGAGCUCAUUUAAUUGGCAACUAUUGCUGAAAAUUACCAGCAAUUAAGAAGAUGUUGAGUAGUCACUUUGAGUGUGAAAACCAAGUUUUGAAGAGUCUUUGAAUGUGAACACCUUGAUCCGAACAGCCAUGAUGUAUUCAACAGUGUGUAAGCAAUAAAUUCGGCUGAAUGGUCACUUAGGAGACUUCAAACAAUAGCCAACUUCAUUCUCCCAUUCAUGCAUGUGCCGUCCCCUUCAUGUACCCUCUUUUAAUACCUUUCAUGCUUCAAAAACGUUCAUGGAUGAUGUACCCGCAGCAACAUUCAUCAAAUAAUUCAAAUUCAUGUUUAGACACAUUAAAUUAACACUAAAAUGCUGCACAUUAAAUUCGGCAGCCUUAGGACAUAAUUAAAACAAGUAAUAAAGUUAACAUAUUAAAAACAAGCUUAAAAACAUAUUUAUAAGCUGUAUAAAUUAAGACAAAAUUAAUAACAUGUCAUAAUAACUAAAAUAUCAUGCAUAAUUAAGUUUGACCAGAUUUAAGACCAAUUUAAUAACGAAAAUUAAUUAAGCUUGUAAAUAACUAAUUUAACUAACUCAAUUAAUUAUUUCAGCUACUAUAUUAUUGACUAAGUUAUUUUGAGCUAAUUUUGAGCUGGUUCGAGCUCAUUGAACUUGAAGGAGCUGGAAAUGAGCUAAAUGAAGCUCCACAAAAAUAAAAUUGAGCUACGUCCAGCUUGUAAAAACGACGAGCCUCGCUUGUAGGCUGAAACAAUAGCCGUUCCCGGGGGCGGGUCGUAUCAGCGGUGAAGGUUUAUUCCUUCAUAUUAUCAUCGGGAGUUGUAUCAAAAGCUCCAAAAUCUCACCCAAGGAACCAAAAGUGUGGAGGAUUAUUACAAGGAGAUGGAGAUCGCUAUGAUUCGCGCUGAUGUACAAGAAGAUCGUGAGGCCACUAUGGCGCGAUUCUUGGUUGGACUUAAUCGGGAAAUAGCUAACAUCGUUGAGUUGCAACACUACGUGGAAAUCGUAGAUAUGGUGCACAUGGCUAUCAAAGUCGAGAAGCAAAUCAAAAAGAAAGGUUCUGCUCGAGGCUAUUCUUAUUCCAAUACAUCUAAAUGGAACCAAGGUUCGAGUAAGAGUGCUUCUACUAAUCCGAUAAAGGAGCCAACAACACCACCAAAAACACUUAAGCCAAUUGCUGAAUCUAGCAAAGGUAAGUCUGUGGAUAAUUUCCAAAAUCGAUCAAGAGAUAUAAAAUGUUUUAGGUGUCUCGGAAGAGGACAUGUGGCUAGCCAAUGCCCAAAUCGGAAUGCCAUGAUUAUGAGGCCAAAUGGUGAUAUCGAAUCGGAGGAGGAGAUAGACAAAAAUGAAGAAGUUGAAAUUCCUUCCGAUAAUGAAGAAGAAAUAGCGUUUGCUGUUGAAGGUGAAAUGCUUGUGGUAAAAAGAAAUCUUAGUGUCCAAACUUCCGUGGAUGAACUACAACGUGAGAAUUUAUUCCAUACGCGUGGACUUGUCAAAGAAAGGGUUUGUAGUAUCGUGAUUGAUGGUGGAAGUUGCACUAAUGUCACAAGCACAUACUUGGUGGACAAACUUGCUUUGCCAACUAUCAAGCAUCCAAGUCCUUAUAAAUUACAAUGGCUCAAUGAAGGGGUCGAAUUGAAGGUGACCAAGCAAGCCAAGAUUUCUUUCUCUAUUGGAAACUACCAUGAUGAAGUAUUAUGUGAUGUUGUGCCCAUGCAUGCGGGUCAUAUUUUACUCGGAAGGCCAUGGCAAUUUGACCGUCGAGUCAAACAUGACGGUUUUGCUAAUCAAUAUUCGUUUCAACAUAAGGGUAAAAAUGUUACUUUGGUACCCUUGUCCCCGCAACAAGUCAUGGAAGAUCAACAACGUCUUAAGCGAUCCAUGGAACAAGCAAAAGAAAAAGAGAGCAUUGAAAAGGAAGAUGAGAAAGAUAAAAAAAUAGAAAAACAAAAAGAAACAAAAAAAAAUUAUAAAAAAAUGAGAGUGUUGAAAAAGAAAAAGAAAUCACAAGAAAGGUGAGUGAGAAAAAGAAAAGAGAAUUAAAAAACCAUUGUCUCCUUGUUACUCCAUUUCAGGUUAAUUCAAAGAAGGAGCUCCAAUUACAAUACAAGUCUGAAGGAAGAAGGUUUGUGAUGAUUGAAAAAGGUAAAAUCGAUCUUCAAUUCCCAAUUCCUAAAGGUGGACAAGGUAUGAAUUCUGAUGUUAUGCGAUCAUCUUUUCUUAAGUCGAAUGUAAAUGAAAUUUUUGAAGACACCUUGAAUGCUAAAAAUCGCUUGAAUCCUAUUGUGGUUAAUUGUUUGAUUUUGUUUGAUGAAGAUAUAUUUGUUUUGAGUAAUGAUAAGAAGAUUUUUCUCUUUGGAAAAUGUGAUGAAGUCGUUGUUGAGAACAAAACCAAAUGACAAUUGCGAGUGUCAAACAUGCGAAAUCAUGAGUCAUAUGAAACUUUUCAUUUGCAUGUUUGUGAUGAAGAUUUAAAUUUCAUGUCUCCUUACUUGCAUUCCAUUUACUUGAACAAUGACUUGUGGAAGCAAAUUGAAAAGUUCGAAUGCUUAAAAACAUAUUUGUUUUCGUCUCAACCAUUUGAUGAGUUAUGGAUAUGGAAGGAGUUUUGUUCAUGUGNNNNNNNNNNNNNNNNNNNNNNNNNNNNNNNNNNNNNNNNNNNNNNNNNNNNNNNNNNNNNNNNNNNNNNNNNNNNNNNNNNNNNNNNNNNNNNNNNNNNNNNNNNNNNNNNNNNNNNNNNNNNNNNNNNNNNNNNNNNNNNNNNNNNNNNNNNNNNNNNNNNNNNNNNNNNNNNNNNNNNNNNNNNNNNNNNNNNNNNNNNNNNNNNNNNNNNNNNNNNNNNNNNNNNNNNNNNNNNNNNNNNNNNNNNNNNNNNNNNNNNNNNNNNNNNNNNNNNNNNNNNNNNNNNNNNNNNNNNNNNNNNNNNNNNNNNNNNNNNNNNNNNNNNNNNNNNNNNNNNNNNNNNNNNNNNNNNNNNNNNNNNNNNNNNNNNNNNNNNNNNNNNNNNNNNNNNNNNNNNNNNNNNNNNNNNNNNNNNNNNNNNNNNNNNNNNNNNNNNNNNNNNNNNNNNNNNNNNNNNNNNNNNNNNNNNNNNNNNNNNNNNNNNNNNNNNNNNNNNNAGAUAGUGGGUCAAGGUCCUCUUACAUCCUUAUUCAUCCAUCUUAAAGACAUAUAAGAAUCGGGUCAACCUUAAUCCUUAACGUUGGUUCAUUCUUGUUUUUAAGCCUAUCUUCCCAUUCCAUUUUGAACUGAAAAUUCCAAACCAUUAUUAUUUGUUUCCUACCUUUUCUUAGCCUAAUUAAUUUACAAAUCACUUUCUUUAAUCUCAAUUGAAUCUCAAACAACUUCAUCGUUUGGACGAUCGGGCAACAAAAGCGAUUCAACUCAUUAAACUGAGGCUGGUUCGCAUCAGGGGCCUCACUAAAAACAUCCUCAUAAUCCUGCGAAAAACAUUGAAACACUCUAGGCAAAUUUUAAUUAAUGUUAGAUAGAGAUAAAUAAUUUUGCCUAAACCUCACAAGGAUACAAGGCUGUUCAUUGAAUAGGUCUCUCCGCACAUCUUUUUUUGUUGCAAUUAAAAUUUUCACUCUAUUUUUACCACUUGCGAAUUCACUCACCUUUGGGCCAUUUAAAUUUUGACUUUUUUCACUACUAGCCUCUUUUCUCUCUGUCUUUUUUAUUUGUCCUUUCUCCCUCACCCCCUCACAAAAUUUCAUCAUUUUUAAUUGAUCUUUAUAUACAUCACUGGGAUUUAAAGGAGCAAGAGUGAAUUUUCGGCCUUUAAACAUAAGAGAGUAUCUAUUAAGCUUGCCUUGGUGUGUAACAUCACGACAAAUUGCCAAGGCCAUCCAAAAAGCAAGUGUGCCGCAUGCAUUGGGACCACAUGACACUGUACCUCAUCCUCGUAAUUCCCAAGCUUAAAAGUGAUCAAGGACUGUUUUGUAACUUUAACUUCUGAGCAUUCAUUAAGCCACUGAAGGUGAUACGGCUUAGGGUGCUCGAUACAAGGUAACUUUAUGGAAUCUACCAAAUAGCUGCUGAUGUGAGCACGCCCGGGGCAUCCUCGAGUGCAAACCAAGAUCUAAACGAGCUGCCUAAAGGACCUAUAACUCAAGCUUAUGCUAAACAUUUCCUAGAAGCUAUUUUAGCUUCUAAUGCAAAACCUUGGUUCGAAACAAGGGCCAAAGCUCACAAAAUCAGCUUGAAGCAACUAUCCAAAGGACCCGUGCAUUGUUGGCAAGCUGAUCCUAGCUCAUUUCUAGCUCCUCGAGCACCGUCCAGCUCAACUCAGCUCAUUUGAGCUUGUUUCAGCUCGUUUGAGCUCCACCGAGCUUACUUUCAGCUCCUUCUUUCUUUCUUUCAAUAAACUAAGUCUUAAUUUAGUUUAUAAUUAAGUUUGCUACAGCUCAUGCCGAAACCCCUAGCUCAAUUUCAACUCAUUAAGUGUUUUGACUAUUUUUGAGCUAGCUAAAUUUAUUAUAAGUUGACUUAUAAUUAUUGUGUUCAAAUUUAGUUAGUGAUAUUAAGUUAUUUAGUUAUUAUUUUAAAUUAUAAUUAUAUGAAUAGUUGUGUGUUAUUUAAUUAUGUUAUUUACUUUUGUAGGUUAGCCGAAUUUGGAAGAGACAUUCAUGGCAUUUAAUGCAAGGUCAUGGGAAAGUUAAUUGAACGGGAGGAUACAUGCAUGGACCGGUUCAAUGUUUGGAGGACAUACAUUCAUGUACAUGGAAGGUUAAUGCAUAUUGAAAGGUGCAUCUCCCUUGGACGGCACACAUGCAUGAAUGGGGGGUAAUCAAUGCAAGUGCAUGUAUGGCUAGGUUCAAGGCCCCUUCCAAGUUCCAUGUACAAUCGAUGCAUGUGGGAGGACCCUUGGAGUUUCCUAAGCACCUAUUCGGCCAAGAGACACCCUUUGGGAGUUUCAUGCAACCCAUGGCCGAACCUAGACAAUCCCAUUGGCUUCCAAAGUUUGCUCAUACAUGAAGCUGCCCAUUCAUCUCCCAUUCGGCCGAACAUGGACAAGGACACCAUUGGUCAUUUUUCUAGAAGGUUCAUGUCUUAAUUUAGGUUCAUUACUUAAUCAUUAAGUUCAUGAAUGGACUAUUCGGUUAGCAUAAGAAACUAGUAUAAAUAGUUUGUUGAUUUCAUUUGUAAAGGACUUUUGACUUUUGAUCAUUUGAAUAAACUUUGUUCAAAGAGUGAGUUUUCUCCUCUCUAAAUUCGUACGAGUUUCGAUCUGACUUAUCUAGCGUGCUAGUGGCGUCUAUCGUUCUCUUUUGAACUUAUCACCUUGCUUUGGUGUGGCGUUCAACCUUCUACAAUUCCGCAAUCCCACCUUGAACCGAAUAGAAAUCGGGGUGACACUUUUAGUGUUGAAUCGUUUCUGGCGUUUAAGCUCAUUUAUCCAUUCCACCGACUAUCCUAGAUUUUACCCAACUAUAAUAUCUUUUUACAAAACCGAGCCUUCAUUUAUCAACUUCCAUUUUUCUUAUUUUUAUCCUUAAAUCGAGCCUACUACCCUUAUAAAUUUACCAUCACCUUAGCCAACCUUUAAAACCAUUUGAAAGCUUCCGCAUCUUUAGCCUUAUUUCAUCCUAUUUUCGAUAACUCAACUAUUCCUCGUCGAUGAUCGGGCAAUUACGUGAAACGACUCAAUUAAUCCGGGCCGGAUCACAUCAUUUGGUGUCAGAGCUACUAAAACGAGAAGUGCCGACAUUCGUAUCAAGCUCGGAGUAGGUUCGUAAUGUAAAAAAAAGUCAAAAAAAAAUCAAAAAAAAAAUUUGAGUUGGAAUUUAAUUUUUUUUCUCUUCCUUGUAUUUUGUUUACUAUUGUAUUGGAUUUUAAAAAAAAGAGAAGAAAUUCAAAAAAAAUUCAAAAAAAUCGAAAAAAAAAGAAAAAAAAGAAGUGACAAAAAAAUCGAGUUAAAAAAAAGAAGAAAAAAAAAGUGAAAAGUCUUGCGAGUUUUUAUCAUUAUCACUUAUUACUCCGAUCAUCAAGUUUCCCUUCCUACCAUUAUGUACCCAUCCCAACGCCACACUUUAAACCAAUUUUCUUCUUUAUUCAGCCUACCCUACACCCGACAUUAUCCCUUGUAACCCAUUUUGAAACCGACCCUCAAGCAGCAAAUUAAGUCUAUUGAGAUGAAUUACGAAUUUGUGAGACGAGGUCGAGUGGUAAAAGGCAAGAGAGCGUGAGUUCAUUCGAAAAAAAGCCUAAAAGAGAGUUCAAACACGAGAGUGAGUGAAUUUUUCUUUUUGAGCGAACUUGAGAGAUUUGUGGUGAGAAUUAUUUUUUUUCUUUCUAAUUUAGCUUUUGUUUUCUAAUAUUUUGUUGAAGCAUGUCUGAAGAAUUUUCUGAAUUUGAAUUCCAAAUGUGGAGACAAGAAAUGCAAAGGAUAAUGCGAUCUGAAUUUCGACAAUUCGACAAAGAUAAAGAAGAUUUGACAUCUACUAUCGUUGACAUCAAGAUUAGUGCAAUCCUUCAAAGAUUGGAAAAUGAACCACAAUGUGAAGAUAUGUUUCACACGCGUUGCCGUGUCCACGAUAAAGUUUGUUGCCUCAUUAUUGAUGGUGGAAGUAGGUCAAACAUGGCUAGUAUUCGAACGGUAAAAAAACUUGGCUUGGCCACUACCAAGCAUCCACGACCCUAUCAACUGCAAGGACUUGGUGUUGAAGGCAAAUUUGAAGUUACUCAACAAGUGCGUGUUGCAUUUUCCAUUGGAAGAUACCAAGACGAAGUCCUUUGUGAUGUUGUGCCUAUUCAAGUCUGCCAUUUGUUGCUAGGAGAACCAUGGCAAUCGGAUCGCAAGGUCAUUCACGAUGAACGUACCAAUAGGUAUUCCUUCAAGCAUCAAGGAAGGAAAAUCACUUUAGCGCCGCUCACACCGGAACAAGUGCAAGAAGACCAAUUCAAAAUAAAGCAAUCCAUUGAGCGAGAAAAGGAGAAAGAGAUUGAAAAAGAAAUUGAAAGAAAACAAAAAGAAAACGAAAAAGAAAAAGAAAUUGCAAAAGAAAAAGAAAUCAAAAAAGUGAGAGAAAAAGAAAAUGAAGAAAAGAAAAUUGAAAAAGAAAAAGUGAAAAAAGAAUUUGAAAAAGAGUUUGAAAAAGAGAAGAGUGAAAAAGGAGAAAGUAAUCGAGCAAAAGUGAGGAAUGUUCUAACUAACCCAUUUGCAAGUUUGCCGUGUAAAUUUUCUUCUUUCCAGGUUUCCAAGGAAUCGAUUGACAAGUUUCGACUUCAAUACCUUUCGAAAGAGAGAGGGUUCACCUUGGUUGAAAAAGGUAACAUUCUUAAUGAUCGUAGUUCGCCUAAGCCAAAAGAGGAGCAAGGUAUGAAUGUUGAAAAUUUUAAAGCACCUCUGCCUUAUUCGAUUGUUGAUGGAAACCUUGUUGAUGAUUUGUCCUUUAAAAAUGAUCUGAAUUUUGAUGUGGUUACUUGCCAUUCUUUGAUUGAUAAUAUCAUAUUUGCGUGGAAUGAUGGCAAGAAGAAUAAUGUUUUUGGAAAUUGUGAUGCUGAUGAGUUUGUUAUUGAAAUAAUAAAUAUUCGGCAUUUGCAAGAUAAGAAAACAUAUAAGCCUUUCCAUCUGCUUGAUUUGAGUAAAAAUGUGCACUCAUUGAUCUUUUAUGAGAAACUACUUUGUCUAAACAAGAAUGUACGUAUGAGAUUUGAGAUGCAUGAAUGCUUGAAAACAUGCAUGUCUUUGAUUUGUUUGUUUGAUACGAGGAUGACAUGUAAAAUGGUUAGUGCACUUAAAGUUGAAGAUGGUGUCUCAAAUCUGCCUUGUUGUAUAAAUUUUGCAUGUUUGAAAAAGCCUUUGCUAUUUUUAACAAAGAAUGACCAAAACCGUGUGUUUAAGCCCGGAGCAAGUUAUCUUAAGUUGUUGAUAAAUAAAGGUGAGUACUCUAAUUUUGUUUGGAAUAAAUAUGUUGAAUCUUCUCAUCUUUUCCGAAUCUUAUCGCUAUGUGUGAAUAGAUGUGUGAACCAUUUGUGCUUGCUUGAUGUUAUGACUUUAAAUUUGAAAACGAAGUUGUUGAACUAUGACAAGUUGCAAAUGCUAAAUCGAAGCUUUGGCUCUACAUCAUUGUUCAAAGUUUUUAAGUCAUGGAUUUUUGUUGUCCAAAAUUAUAAUUCCCGAAUGCUUCUUGUUUUUGGUAUAUCUCCAACGAAGAAAUUCUUAACUCAUUGCGGAAAGGUAAAAUCAACUUUCACUUUUGAUCCCGGCAUUGGUUCAUUUGUUCAAUUUUUGCAUAAGAUCUUAAGAAGACCUUUUGAACUUAUAAACCAAGGUGUCACUAAUCUAUUUAAUUUUUGUGUAGGUGACACUUCGAAGUGGUUCCCUCCUAAAGAGGGAGGGUAUAAACAUAAACUAUGUCCUACUCAAGGCAUGUCUGAUUUGCAGGUUUUUGGGAGCAACUAUGCCAAUUCCAUCGACAAAAGGGCUGGUGACGAUGUAAAAUUUUUUUCGAGAAAAUGGCCCGAUUUGGGGACAAAUUGCUUUAAAGAGGGAGGGAAUGAUGUGAGCACGCCCGGGGCAUCCUCGAGUGCAAACCAAGAUCUAAAUGAGCUGCCUAAAGGACCUAUAACUCAAGCUUAUGCUAAACAUUUCCUAGAAGCUAUUUUAGCUUCUAAUGCAAAACCUUGGUUCGAAACAAGGGCCAAAGCUCACAAAAUCAGCUUGAAGUAACUAUCCAAAGGACCCGUGCAUUGUUGGCAAGCUGAUCCUAGCUCAUUUCUAGCUCCUCGAGCACCGUCCAGCUCAACUCAGCUCAUUUGAGCUUGUUUCAGCUCGUUUGAGCUCAACCGAGCUUACUUUCAGCUCCUUCUUUCUUUCUUUCAAUAAACUAAGUCUUAAUUUAGUUUAUAAUUAAGUUUGCUACAGCUCAUGCCGAAACCCCUAGCUCAAUUUCAACUCAUUAAGUGUUUUGACUAUUUUUGAGCUAGCUGAAUUUAUUAUAAGUGACUUAUAAUUAUUGUGUUCAAAUUUAGUUAGUGAUAUUAAGUUAUUUAGUUAUUAUUUUAAAUUAUAAUUAUAUGAAUAGUUGUGUGUUAUUUAAUUAUGUUAUUUACUUUUGUAGGUUAGCCGAAUUUGGAAGAGACAUUCAUGGCAUUUAAUGCAAGGUCAUGGGAAAGUUAAUUGAACGGGAGGAUACAUGCAUGGACCGGUUCAAUGUUUGGAGGACAUACAUUCAUGUACAUGGAAGGUUAAUGCAUAUUGAAAGGUGCAUCUCCCUUGGACGGCACACAUGCAUGAAUGGGGGGUAAUCAAUGCAAGUGCAUGUAUGGCUAGGUUCAAGGCCCCUUCCAAGUUCCAUGUACAAUCGAUGCAUGUGGGAGGACCCUUGGAGUUUCCUAAGCACCUAUUCGGCCAAGAGACACCCUUUGGGAGUUUCAUGCAACCCAUGGCCGAACCUAGACAAUCCCAUUGGCUUCUAAAGUUUGCUCAUACAUGAAGCUGCCCAUUCAUCUCCCAUUCGGCCGAACAUGGACAAGGACACCAUUGGUCAUUUUUCUAGAAGGUUCAUGUCUUAAUUUAGGUUCAUUACUUAAUCAUUAAGUUCAUGAAUGGACUAUUCGGUUAGCAUAAGAAACUAGUAUAAAUAGUUUGUUGAUUUCAUUUGUAAAGGACUUUUGACUUUUGAUCAUUUGAAUGAACUUUGUUCAAAGAGUGAGUUUUCUCCUCUCUAAAUUCGUACGAGUUUCGAUCUGACUUAUCUAGCGUGCUAGUGGCGUCUAUUGUUCUCUUUUGAACUUAUCACCUUGCUUUGGUGUGGCGUUCAACCUUCUACAAUUCCGCAAUCCCACCUUGAACCGAAUAGAAAUCGGGGUGACACUUUUAGUGUUGAAUCGUUUCUGGCGUUUAAGCUCAUUUAUCCAUUCCACCGACUAUCCUAGAUUUUACCCAACUAUAAUAUCUUUUUACAAAACCGAGCCUUCAUUUAUCAACUUCCAUUUUUCUUAUUUUUAUCCUUAAAUCGAGCCUACUACCCUUAUAAAUUUACCAUCACCUUAGCCAACCUUUAAAACCAUUUGAAAGCUUCCGCAUCUUUAGCCUUAUUUCAUCCUAUUUUCGAUAACUCAACUAUUCCUCGUCGACGAUCGGGCAAUUACGUGAAACGACUCAAUUAAUCCGGGCCGGAUCACAUCAGCUGCUAACUACAUUCGAACAACUCCCACUAUCAAUAAUAAGUGAACAUAAGUUACCUUUUAUAAAACACUUAGAAUGGAAAAUAUUGGUCCUUUGGUUAUCACAAUCGUCUCCCGUUUGGAUGUUAAGGGUGCGGCAGACUAUCAUCUUUUUUUUUCUCUUUUUUUUUGAAAUACCUGUAAAACAAAUACUCAACACUCAAAAGAAAAAUUAGCAAACGUCACCGUUAGUCACUCAAAAAGAAAAAUCAAUUUCUCAAUGAGGUAGAAUUCAGUCUUGUGAGUUCUUUAGUAGAGUCUAUAUCAACCAAUUAGAAAGUGUAUGAACCGAAACUACCAAAGAGUCCUAAUUUGCACUAAGAUGCCAAAAACUGACGAGACACCAAUUAAUUUGUGUUGCACCGAGGAAGAAUUGUGCACACCUUAAAAUCCUACUAACACAAGAAACAAGAAGGUGUUAGAUAGUGUAAAGGAAGAAUAAAGGCAAACAAAUGAAAAAUGACAGCUAAGAUUCAAUAAAAAUUGCUGAAAUCGAAAAACUCGAAAAACUACGAAGUAACUUGAUAACUUCGUUUGAGGUGUUCCCAAUCUCCAAAAAUCACGAAAUUAAAUAUGGAAUUUCAUUAAAUAUUGAAUUUUUUAUCUGGAAAGUUUGGGCACCAAACUCAACCCGCUGAAUCUUUUUUAAAAUUUUUAUUGGAUUUCGUAUUUUUCAAUUUUUUUACUUUUUCGACUGAAUUUUUUGCGGUAAAUAUUUUUUUAUAUUCAAUAACAGUGCCAAAAAUAUGUAUGUAAAAUUUCAUAUCAAUCGGACAACGUUUACCAACUCAAAUGAAUUUUUUUCGAAAAAUUUUUCUAGGUAAAACUGCUGUUUGUAGUUUAAAAAAUAGAGAUCAGUUUAGCAAUCAACCAAGAACACCCAAAACGCCCAAAAUCUGAUACCAAAUGAUAGAGGGUUGUGCACGGACCAAGAUCGAGUUGUCAAGUCACGGGAAACUCCUACGAAAACUCUAAACGUUUGGAUCUGAAACGAAACAGCAAAACUUAAUUAGAAUCAAUUAGAUCUGGAAACUAAAAAUCCCCAAAUCAAUAAAGAACAGCCCAGAAUCAAAACACUUAUAAAUAGAUGUUCUUGGAAGCCAAAAACAUGAAAUUAAGCCCCAAGAUUAACUUCUAAUCAGCCGAAUCUAUCAAAGAACAGAAAAGAGCAAAUAAAUUAAAACAGAUUACGAAAUCAAUUGAAACUAAUUCUAGGGAUUGGACGGCAAGAAAAGAGGGGUUUUUGUGAAAUCAAAAACAUUUCUUUAUGUCCAAGGAAGGGUCGAAUCAGAUCUUGGAGUUUUGGAAAGGCUGAAACGCAACAAGAACAGCAAACAAAUUAGCUAAUAAAAAUCGACACAAGCAGAAAUUUAAAAGAAAUCGAACAGCAAGAAGGUAAAGAUAAAGUCCUAAUAAGCCUAGAAAUCGAUAAAGAUUUCACAACUCCCUUCAAACGGCUCUAAUCUCCCCUCCAACGAAGAACAAUGGCAAGAAGAAGGCUGAAGAUGGCUCCGGCAAUCAAAAAGAUUGUUUGAUACGGAGGCACACGUGGACCAAGAUCGAGUUGCCAAGUCACGAGAAAUUCCUACGAAAGCUCUAAACGAACAGAUCUGAAAUCAAACAAAGAACGAGAUUAAAUCUGGAAAAUUAAAAUCUGGAAUAAGAACCCUAAAAAUCAGCAAGAUCUAAUCAAGGAACGAAACACUUAUAAAAGAGGUUUCUUGAAACCAAGAACACGAAAUUGAUUCCCAAGAAUGAACUCCCACAAGCCGAAUCUGUCAAAGAACACCAAAUCAGCAAGCAAAUUAGAUCGACUAGAAUUUCUUGAAACAAAUUAGGGUUUAUGCGUCAAUGAGAAAGAAAGAAAUUGAAGGCAUAAAACGGCUAUUGAGGCUGAGAAAGCGAGGGCGAUCUGCUCAAUUGACCACCACGAAAGUUUCCCCUAAGUUUCCACAACCAAAUUCACCCAAGAAGAAUAAGUGUGCAUUCGGCAAGAACCCUAGAAUUUGAGGAUUUAGGGCUGAUUGUCGAACUCCAGCAAAAAGUAAAAUUGAUCAAUUCUUUAAGAUAAACGAGGGCUGGAAACACAAAUAAUACAGCAAAUAGAUUAGAAUUAAGAUUCGGCACAAGUAGAAUUAAAUAAAAGAAAUUGAACAGCAAAAAUUAAAGGAUAAGUCCUAAAGAUCCUUGAAAUCCCGAAAGAUUUCACAAAUCUCUUCAAACGGCUCUAAUCUCCCCUCCAAAGAAUAUCGAUGGCAAGAAGAAGGUUGAAGAUGGCUCCCACAAUCAAAAGAUUGUUAAAACAACUUCUAAAGAAAACUCAAGAGAGAAUUCUUGGAGAAAACCCCAAAGAAAAUUCUGCACUCAACAAAUCUAAAAUUUGAUAGAAAAAAAUAAUAAUAAGAUGUGUACAAAGGGUGGCUGGCCAAUGCUUAUAUAGGCCUCCAACAAAUCCUAAUCUAAUUAGAAAACUUAAAAAAUUUAAACUUAAUUAAAAAAAACAAAGGAAAAUUCGGCCAUGCAUCCUAUUGGGCUGUUUUGGGCCGAAUUUAACAUGUGAUAUUCCUAAAACUUAAAAAUUAACUUAAACAACUAAAAUGUUUACAAAUUGGGCCCUUUGACAUUUUGGCCUGAUUUUCAACUAAAUAUGUAUGGAUUUCUUGAUUGGGCUGGGAAUUUGCUUAUUGGGCCUCGCCUUUAAGAAUUUGGGCUUGUGAUCCAUCUCCUACCGAAAUUGGAUUGUUGACGCUCGUAAUGGAGAUCCAACGCGCUUUGGCUGCAAGAUUCAGUUUCUUGGACCAAGAUUUCAAAGAUUUGAAAUCUUGAUUUUCUUGAUUCUUGAAAUCGCUCCGAACAGCAAAAUUGGGCCAAGAUUCGAUUUCUUGAUUUUCUUGAAAACAAGAAAGUGAAUCUUGAUUUUCUUGAUUUGAGCCCAUCACCUUCUUAAGCUUGGGUUGGGCCUUUGUGACUCGUAUCAUUGUUAAAACAACUUCUAAAGAAAACUCAAGAGAAAAUUCUUAGAGAACUCAGAGAAUUUUCACUCAAAGCAAAUCUGAAAAUUUUAAUAUAUUUGAGAAGUAUAAUGUGUAUAAGGGUGGCUGGCCAAGCCAUACUUAUAGGCCUUCUAACUAUUUUCCUAGUCCUAAUAGGAAAACUAAAAAAAGAACCUAAUUUUUUUUUUUCCUUUCAAGGGAAUUUCGUCCAAGGCCUUUAAUGGGCCUUUUUGGGCUGAAUUUUUACAUAGAAAUUUAUUUAUAAAGUCUAAAAAUUAAAACUAAGUAUUUAAAGAAUUAAAAUUUUACAAAUUGGGCCACUUUGACAAUUUGGCUUGAUUUUCAACUAAGUGAUACGAGUCACAAAGGCCCAACCCAAGCUUAAGAAGGUGAUGGGCUCAAAUCAAGAAAAUCAAGAUUCACUUUCUUGUUUUCAAGAAAAUCAAGAAAUCGAUCUUGGCCCAAUUUUGCUGUUCGGAGCAAUUUCAAGAAUCAAGAAAAUCAAGAUUUCAAAUCUUGGAAAUCUUGGUCCAAGAAACCGAAUCUUGCAGCCAAAGCGCGUUGGAUCUCCAUUACGAGCGUCAACGACCCAAUUUCGGUAGGAGAUGGAUCACAAGCCCAAAUUCUUAAAGGCGAGGCCCAAUAAGCAAAUUCCCAGCCCAAUCAAGAAAUCCAUACAUAUUUAGUUGAAAAUCAGGCCAAAAUGUCAAAGGGCCCAAUUUGUAAACAUUUUAGUUGUUUAAGUUAAUUUUUAAGUUUUAGGAAUAUCACAUGUUAAAUUCGGCCCAAAACAGCCCAAUAGGAUGCAUGGCCGAAUUUUCCUUUGUUUUUUUUUUUAAUUAAGUUUAAAUUUUUUAAGUUUUCUAAUUAGAUUAGGAUUUGUUGGAGGCCUAUAUAAGCAUUGGCCAGCCACCCUUUGUACACAUCUUAUUAUUAUUUUUUUCUAUCAAAUUUCAGAUUUGUUGAGUGCAGAAUUUUCUUUGGGGUUUUCUCCAAGAAUUCUCUAUUGAGUUUUCUUUAGAAGUUGUUUUAACAAUCUUUUGAUUGUGGGAGCCAUCUUCAACCUUCUUCUUGCCAUCGAUAUUCUUUGGAGGGGAUAUUAGAGCCGUUUGAAGAGAUUUGUGAAAUCUUUCGGGAUUUCAAGGAUCUUUAGGGCUUAUCCUUUAAUUCUUGCUGUUUUUGAUUUCUUUCUUUACUUUUCUUUGCUUAUACUUGUGCCGAUUUCUCAUCUAAUAUUUUGCUGUUCUUGUUUGUUUUCCAGCAUUGAUUAAACUCAAGAUCUCAUCGUUUAAGUUGUUCUCCUAUUGGCAGCACCCAUUCGAACCCAAAAAUCCCCAAUUCCUAGGGUUUGGCCGAUUGGAUUUCUUUCAAUUUGGGAAUCAAUUGAUUGCUGGAAAUUGGGCAUUCUUGGCCGAAUCAAUUUGUUGACCGAUUCGCAAUCUUUCUAUACUUCCAAUUUCGUUUGAUUAAUCUAUUCUAUUUCUUUGUUUCUUGCUGCUCCUUUAAUUGAAUUUGGGGAUUUAAUUUCAGGUCCGAUUAGUUUAAUCUUGUUAUUUGUUUUAAUUUUCAGAUCUGUUCGUUUAGAGCUUUCGUAGGAGUUUCCCGUGACUUGGCAACUCGAUCUUGGUCCGCGCACAAUCCUCUAUCAUUUGGUAUCAGAUUUUGGGCGUUUUGGGUGUUCUUGGUUGAUUUCUAAACUGAUCUCUAUUUUUUAGAGCACAAACAGCAGUUUUACCCAGAAAAAUUGUUCAAAAAAAUUCAUUUGAGUGGGUAAACGUUGUCCGAUUGAUCUGAAAUUUUACAUACAUGUUUUUGGCACUGUGAUUUAUUAUAGAAAAAUUAUUCCCGCAAAAAAAUCAGUCAAAAAAGUCAAAAAAAUCAAAAAAGACGAAAUUCAAUAAAAAUUUAAAAAAAGAUUCAGGAGGUUGAAUUUGGUGCCCAAAAUUUCUAGAUCAAAAAUUAAAUAUUUAAGGACAUUCAAAAUUUAAUUUCGUGAUUUUUAGAGAUCGGGAACACCUCGAACGAAGUUGUCAAGUUACUCCGCAGUUUUUCGGGUUUUCUGUUUUCAGCAAUUUUUAUUGAUUCUUAGCUGUAGGUUUUCAUUUGUUUGCUUUUAUUCUUCCGUUAUGUUAUCUAACACCUUCUUGUUUCUUGUGUUAGUAGGAUUUACACGUGUGCACAACUCCUUCCUCGGUGCAACACGAAUCACUUGGUGUCUCGUCAGUUUUUAGCAUCCUAGUGCAAAUUAGGAUUCUUUGGUAGUUUGGUUCACACUCUCUAAUUGGUUGUUAUAAACUCUGAUAAAGAACUCACAAGAUUGAAUUCGACCUCAUUGAGAAUUUGAUUUUUCUUUUUGAGUGAUUAAUGGUGAGGUUUGCUAACUUUUAUUUUUGAGUGUUGAGUGUUUAUUUUUUACAGGUUUUGAAGAUGUCUAAAGGUGAUAAUAAUGAUGCACUUAUGAAAGUCCAACAACAGUUAGACGAACAUACUGCUGCAAUCACACAAAUAAAUGCUACACUUCAAGCAUUGAAUACUACUUUGAAUGAGGUACGAGUGAAUCAAAAACAUCAAUAUCGAGAUCCAAUUAAGAAAGAUAGGGAUAACAAGCCCUAUAGGUGCAGCCCUCAACGUGUCCCUAGAAUGGAUGAUGAUUUUCAUGAUCGUGGACAAUCAUCUUUGGCAAAACCAAAGAGCGAGCAGCAACGAGAACAUCUCUUUCAUACUCGCUACCAUGUACAAGGUAAGCUUUGUAGAGUUAUUAUUGAUGGUGAAAGUUGCUCGAACAUAGCCAGCACGACGAUGGUGGAAAAGCUUUGCUUAACCACUACCAAGCAUCCACAACCUUAUCAACUACAAGGGCUUAGCAACAAAGGCCAAUUUAGGGUCACUCAACAAGUGCGCAUCGCCUUUUCUAUCAGUAAGUAUCAAGACGAAGUUGUGUGUGACGUAAUGCCUAUUCAAGCCUGCCAUUUGUUGCUAGGAGAACCAUGGCAACUGGAUCGAAAAGUUACUCACGAUGGUCGUACCAAUAGGUAUUCUUUCAAGCAUCAAGGAAAGAAACUCACCUUAGUGCCGCUCACUCCGGAACAAGUCCAUGAGGACCAAAUCAAACUAAAAAAUUCUAUUAAAACAAGUGAGGAAAAAGAAAAAGAGAAUGAAAAAGAGCAAAAAGAGAUUGAGAGUGAAAAAGAAAUUGAAGAAAGAAGAGAAAAUGAAUUAGAAAAAGAAACAAAAGAAAAAGACGUGGAAAGGGUAGUGAGGAAUGUUUCCACUAACCAAGAUAUGAAUUUUUCUUGUGUUGCUACUUUUCAGGUUCCCGAAAGAUCGAAAGAUAACUUUCAACUUCAAUACCUCUCAAAUGAAAGACGCUUUCAUACGAUCAACUUAGGCAAAGAUGAAAUCACACUACAUGAUCCCGAAGGUAAGCGAGGUAAGGAAAUUUUAGAAACCGAGUCCAGUGCAAAUUUGAAAAUUAUUGAUAAAACUUUUGGUGACUUAGUUCUUAAAAGAUCCCCUCAUUUUGAUCCGAUUAAUUGUUACUCUUCGAUUGUGGUUGAUAAAGUCAUUACGAAAAGAUGCGUGAUUUGUUAUUCUCUUGAUUUACCUUGUGUAAAAUCCUUGAAUUUGUCCAAAUCUAUUUUGGAGAAUAAGGUAACGAAAUUUUCCAAAUUUGUUUUCAAUUUAUAUUCGUGCCUUAAACAGUUUAUGUGGUUGUACAUGAAGUUUGAGUUCCAUUUGACAAAGGUUAACUCAACAUCGGAGAUUCGACUACACUAUGGCCCCGAUGAACGAAGGUUUAUUUUAAAUGAAAAAGGUAAAAUCGACCCUUAUUCUUUUGCUUAUCAAGGUAAGAUGCUUGAAACCUUUGAAACACUUUUGUACUCCUCGGAUAGCGACAAAGAUCGUGUUGAUGAACAUUUAGAUCGAAACGUGCUUGACUGUCCUAUUUUAUUUAUUGAUGAUAAAUCUAUUUUGAUGGUUGAUAAAAAGAUUCUUAUUUUCGAUAAUGCAUGUGUGAGUGAAUCUAUAGACCGUCGAUUAAGGCAUGGUAAUCUGAAUCUGUCCAUUCACAUGCGUUAUACCUGUUCUAUUAUGCUUAUAAUUGGACUACAAGCUUGUUUGCGUUGCUAUUUACUAUUUCAUGGCUAUUCUUUUCAGUGGACUCAAUUGCCAUUAGUCCCGUUCGAUCGAGGAAAGUCGAUUUCAUUUGAUUUUUUAGAUUUGAGGACGAAUCUUUUUGAGGAAGGGGGGAAUGAUAUGAGUCACAAAGACCCAACCCAAGCUUAAGAAGGUGAUGGGCUCAAAUCAAGAAAAUCAAGAUUCACUUUCUUGUUUUCAAGAAAAUCAAGAAAUCGAAUCUUGGCCCAAUUUUGCUGUUCGGAGCAAUUUCAAGAAUCAAGAAAAUCAAGAUUUCAAAUCUUGGAAAUCUUGGUCCAAGAAACCGAAUCUUGCAGCCAAAGCGCAUUGGAUCUCCAUUACGAGCGUCAACGACCCAAUUUCGGUAGGAGAUGGAUCACAAGCCUAAAUUCUUAAAGGCGAGGCCCAAUAAGCAAAUUCCCAGCCCAAUUAAGAAAUCCAUACAUAUUUAGUUGAAAAUUAGGCCAAAAUGUCAAAGGGCCCAAUUUGUAAACAUUUUAGUUGUUUAAGUUAAUUUUUAAGUUUUAGGAAUAUCACAUGUUAAAUUCGGCCCAAAACAGCCCAAUAGGAUGCAUGGCCGAAUUUUCUUUUGUUUUUUUUAAUUAAGUUUAAAUUUUUUAAGUUUUCUAAUUAGAUUAGGAUUUGUUGGAGGACUAUAUAAGCAUUGGCCAACCACCCUUUGUAAACAUCUUAUUAUUAUUUUUUUCUAUCAAAUUUCAGAUUUGUUGAGUGCAGAAUUUUCUUUGGGGUUUUCUCCAAGAAUUCUCUCUUGAGUUUUCUUUAGAAGUUGUUUUAACAAUCUUUUGAUUGUGGGAGCCAUCUUCAACCUUCUUCUUGCCAUCGAUAUUCUUUGGAGGGGAGAUUAGAGCCGUUUGAAGAGAUUUGUGAAAUCUUUCGAGAUUUCAAGGAUCUUUAGGACUUAUCCUUUAAUUCUUGCUGUUUUCUAUUUCUUUCUUUACUUUUCUUUGCUUAUACUUGUGUCGAUUUCUCAUCUAAUAUUUUGCUAUUCUUGUUUGUUUUCCAGCAUUGAUUAAACUCAAGAUCUCAUCGUUUAAGUUGUUCUCCUAUUGGCAGCACCCAUUCGAACCCAAAAAUCCCCAAUUCCUAGGGUUUGGCCGAUUGGAUUUCUUUCAAUUUGGGAAUCAAUUGAUUGCUGGAAAUUGGGCAUUCUUGGCCGAAUCAAUUUGUUGACCGAUUCGUAAUCUUUCUAUACUUCCAAUUUCGUUUGAUUCAUCUAUUCUAUUUCUUUGUUUCUUGCUGCUCCUUUAAUUGAAUUUGGGGAUUUAAUUUCAGGUCUGAUUAGUUUAAUCUUGUUAUUUGUUUUAAUUUUUAGAUCUGUUCGUUUAGAGCUUUCGUAGGAGUUUCCCGUGACUUGGCAACUCGAUCUUGGUCCGCGCGCAAUCCUCUAUCACUAAGUCUGAUUUAAAUUUCAGGAUUGGGCUUGGAACAUCUUAUUGGGCCAUGUCUUCAAGAACUUGGGCUUGUAAUUCGUUCUCUCCCAAAAUUGGCUUGUUAAUGCUCGUAACUGAGAUCCAAUGCACCUUAGUUGCAAGAUUCGGUUUCUUGAUUUUCUUGAAAACAAGAAAGUGAAUCUUGAUUUUCUUUUUCCUUUGUAGACGCAUCUAAGGCCUUUGUGACUCGUAUCAUCUAUCCAACAUCAAACCAAGCCAUCGUUUGAACCCAAAUUGCCUGCUUUCACUUAUAAAUCUCCAUAACUCAAUUUUCAUACGACAUCAAAACGAACGAACUUCUCGUCGACGAUCGGGCAUCUUAUGUGAAUUCGACUCAAUCAAUCAAGCCGGGUCACAUCACUUGUGUGUUUUUUAGUAGAGUCUAUAUCAAUCAAUUUAGAAAGUGGGUGAACGGUAACUACCAAAGAAUCCUAAUUGCACUAGGAAUCCAAAAAGUGACGAGAUACCAAUUGAUUUGUGUCACACCGAGGAAAAAUUGUGCACACUUUUAAAUCCUACUAACAGAAGAAACAAGAAGGUGUGUUAGAUAGUGUAAAGGGAGAAUAAAAGCAAAACAAAUGAAAACCUACAUGAUAGAGGGUUACGCGCGGACCAAGAUCGAGUUGCCAAGUCACGAGAAAACUCCUACGAGGCUCUAAACGAACAGAUCUGAAACGAAACAGAAAUUAAAAGAUUGGAACUUUGAAUUUCCAGAUCUGAAAUAAAAAUCCCCAAACCAGCAAAGAAUCAAAUUGAGAAUAAGAAUAAGUGUUAAUAAAGGUUCUUGGGGAAUCAAGAACAUGUAAUUGAACCCCAAAGAAUACUCCAAUUUGCUGAAUUUGAAAAGAAAGACACAAACAACAAGUUAAAUUUCCUCAAAAUUCCAGCAAUCAAAACAACCCAAAUCUGAUUUGGAUUAGGAUGAUAUCCACUCUGAAGAUCAAUUUUCGUAAAUAUUUUGGCACCACUUAACUCGUCAAGCAUAUCAUCGAGUCGAGGAAUAGGAUGUCUAUAUUUGAUGGUGAUCUUGUUGAUGGCACGACAAUCAACACACAUUUGCCACGACCCAUCCUUUUUGGGCACAAGUAAAAUCGGUACCGCACAAGGACUAAGACUUUCUCGGAUGUAACCUUUAUCCAUAAGUUCAGCAACUUGCUUUUGCAACUCCUUGGUUUCUUCCGGGUUAGUUCGAUAAGCAGGUCGAUUAGGAAGUGCGGCUCUAAGCACUAAGUCAAUUUGGUGCUCGAUACCUCGAAUGGGAGGCAAUCCACUAGGCACUUCAUCCGGAAAAACAUCCUCAAAUUCCUGUAAAAGAGACAACAUAGAAGAAGUGAUGCAAUCGAGACCCAUGAGCUAUCGAGUGAUAAUGAUAUUUCCCUUGAGCUACCAAAAGGACCCAUUACUCGAGCUAGAGCUAAUAAGUUCAAGAAUGCAAUUUCAACUUUGGUGGAUCGAGUUUGGAGUGAAUCCGUGGCUGUUCUACUUGAAAAAUCAUGGGCCAGCAAAUUAAGCAAUCCGUGCAAUCUACUUCAAGUUCAUUCAGCUCAAUUUUAGCUCACCGAGCUCACUUUUAGCUCAAUCAGCUCAUUUUAAGCUCAUUUGCGUUUAUAUUUAUUUUGCUGGAAUAUUUAUUUAAGUUGUUAGUUAAAUUAGUUAAGUUAAUUAAUUGAAUUUAUUUCUGGUCAAAAUAAUUAUUGAGUGUUAUUUAAUAUGUUCUAAUUAGUUUAGUGCCUUAAAUAUGUUUUAAACUACAACAAAUAUUUAUUUAGUUGACCGAACUAAAUGAGCAGAUUUUUAUAUUCAUAUGCUGCCGAAUUUAAUGUAUUUGUUUCAUGAACUAAUUUGUUGAUUUAAAUUGGUGCAGGAAUCUCCCUUGGACGGCAUGGGUGCAUGAACCUAAGGUUCAUUGUAUUUGGCCGAAACAUGCAUGGCACUUCCAAAUGAAUAUUCAGCCGAAUUUGCCAUCCUCAAACAUCUACAUGCAGCUCAUUUUAAGUGUUCACAUGAGAGACUAUUCAGCUGAUGGUGUUCACACAUAUUUGACUCUUCAAAACCGACUUUUCACACUUGUGUGGCUGUUCAACAACUAUCUUUAAUGUUCCUAUCUUUUCAGCCAACAAGUGCCAAUUUAAGGAGUAAUUUAAGAGCAAGGCCGAACCUGGACAAGACCAUUGAUCUACCGAUGCAUUCAUCUUUGCAAGGUGCAUUUGCUUCAUGCUUAAGCUGCCCAUUUGAAUGCCCAUUCAGCCGAAUCUUAUGGAGGAAUUAAUUCUGGAAUUUUCUUAGCUUUUAAGUUUGUCUAUUCGGCUAGCCUUUGAAGAACUAUAAAUAUUUGUUUGUUCAUUUGUAAAAGGACUUUUUCCAUUUUGAUUAUUGAAAUUAAGUAUUUUGUGAGAAUUUAUUCUCUAAAUUUCGUCCAAAGACUUUGUUGGCUUAUCUACUAGUUAGUGGCGUCAACCUUGUUCUUUGUAACUCGAACUUAUCACUUUCAACUAAAGUGUGGCGUUCAACUAUACCGAGGUUCCUAUCUUCGAUAGAUAGUGGGUCAAGGUUCCCUUACAUCCUUAUUCAUCCAUCUUAAAGACAUAUAAGAAUCGGGUCAACCUUAAUCCUUAACGUUGGUUCAUUCUUGUUUUUAAGCCUAUCUUCCCAUUUCAUUUUGAAUCGAAAAUUCCAAGCCAUUAUUAUUUGUUUCCUACCUUUUCUUAGCCUAAUUAAUUUACAAAUCACUUCCCUUAAUCUCAAUUGAACCUCAAACAACUUCAUUGUUCAAGUAAAACGAAUUGACUCAAGAAGAACGAAACUUCAUCGUUUGGACGAUCGGGCAACAAAAGCGAUUCAACUCAUUAAACCGAGGCUGGUUUGCAUCAAGAAGGUAGAUCUUUGGGUAAUUCAGUAGUGUUCAGCAAAAUUUCUUUGUACAUGAGUACAAAUACAGGUUGCCUCAAGGUUAAUGCUCUCCGAACAUCACUUGCUUUUGCAAACACACUCAUUUUCUCAAUGUUUUUUUCUUCUCCAUGUUUUUCUUCUAUUGCUGCCUUUUCACUUUCUUUUAAAUUUUUACCUCGAGCUCUCUCAUUUUUCUUCUCUUUCCCACUCCAACUCUUUUUUUCUUUUUCUUGCAUUUGUCCAACAGAAGUUUUGAGUUUGAUUUGGUCCUCGUAUACUUGCUUCGGGGUUAACGGUGUAAGUGUCACUUUCUUGCCACAAUGCUUGAAGGUAUACCUAUUGGUAUAGCUGUCAUGAACCACCCUCCGAUCGAAUUGCCAUGGUCAUCCUAACAGCGAAUGGCCCGCAUGCAUAGGCACCACAUCACAUAGAACUUCGUCGGAAUAUUUUCCAAUUUUGAAAGUAACAAGAACUUUGAUACGAUCUCGGUUUCGUAGUUGAACCCGAGUCAUUUAGUUCCCGAUCGUAAACGAAGAAGUAUAUUAGACAAGAAGAAGAUAGAAUAUAUUUGAGUUCAAAGAAGUAAAGUAAGUCCGUGCAAAGUUGGAUGUGGAUUUGGUUUAAGUCGAAAUGGUAUGACUAGAAUGGUCGAGUUCGGUUUAGGAUUAAUUAAGAAAUGGUAUUUGGUUUUGGUACGUUUUGGUAUUUGGGAAUUGGUACGAAAUGCUAAGGGAUUUGGUACGAAAUGGUAAUGGUUCAAAAAGGUCAAGAGUGAACCAACACUAUAGAAAAGUGUCGACCCGAAACCUAUAGGACCAAAUUGAGUUGGAAAUGGUUGAUAAGGACCUUGACCCGAUAAGUUCGAAAGUGUGAACCAAAGGUAUCAAAAGUGAACGCCACACUCGGGUUUAGGGAGUGAUAAGUUCGAAAGAAAGACUCGGAAAGACUCCACUAGAAGCUAGAUAAGUCUUACGGGUCUCGAACGAAAUUUGAGAGAAAAUGCCUCACAAAUUUGGCAGCAAUUCGUUGCUUAAAAUGUCAAAAGUCCUUUACAAAUUGAAUUUAACAACUAUUUAUAAACAAAGACUAGGCUAGCCGAAUAGUCAUAUGAAUGCUUAAGAAUUAAGCAAAUGAAUUCCUUUAAUGUGCUUAACUAAAUUCGGCUGAAUGGAGCUCCAAUGGUCAUCUUCUAGAAAGAGCAAUGAACUUAGAAGCUUGGAAAGAUGCAUGGCAGUAGCUAGGUUCGGUUAAUGGACUUAAACAAACUCAAUUAAUUGGCAACUUUUGUUGAAAAGUGAUCAGCAAUUAAAUGAGGUAAUGAGCAGCCACCAAGGUGUGAAAACUCAGCUUUGAAGAGUCAUGGCAUGUGAACAUAUAGAACCGAACAGCCAAGAUGAAUCCAGCAAUGUGAAAAGAAUUAAAAGUCGGCUAAAUGGUCAACUUGGGAGUAGGAAACAAUAGCUUCUUUGGCCGAAUGGUCACCUAGGAUACUUCAAACAGCAGCCAAAUUUAAUUCCCCAAACAUGCAUGUGCCGUCUGAUACGAGCACGCCCCGCGAACUUCAUCGAGCAAGUCUGUCAAGCCGAGCAUUGACAUGUUGGCAAGCUGAUCCCAGCUCGUUUCCAGCUCCACAAGCUCCGUCUAGCUCAAAUCCGGCUUAUUCAAGCUCGAUCCAACUUGCCUGAGCUAAACCGAGCUCACUCCUAGCUCAUAUUUAGCUCACGAGCUAAACCUUAGCUCAACUUUAGCUUAGGAGUUUAGCCUCAGCUCAACUUUAGCUCACGAGCUAAAACUUAGCUCAUUUUAGUUUAAACUCGGUUUUGUCUUUAAUACAUUAAAUAAAAUUUGCACAUAUUCAUUUAAGCAUUAAACUUGUCUUAUAUUAAUAUUUGUUAUUAAUAUAUCAUUGUCAUUAUAUAAAUUGAUUAUGUUCACAUAGCCGAAUUAAUGCAUGACAUUAAUGUGUUCACAUCAUGCCGAAUUUAUGAGUGUUCAUGAGAUGUCUUAAUGACUUGUUUAUUUCAUGUAGGUACAUUCCUUUGGACGGUACAAUGUAUGAAUGAAGAAACAUCUCUUUUGGGCAUUCCACACUCAUGAAUGAAGAAGUAUUAAAUGCUGGUGCAUGUACGGCUAGAUGCAAUGUUUCUACAAAUUCAUGCAUGUGUCGAAUGCAUGUAUGGACAUUAAAGGCUAGUCCAUGAAUGGAUCAAAUGCAUGGGAUGAUAGAAUGCAUGAAUGGCUUAAGUGCAUGUAUGGUGGCUGUCUCUUAACUUUCCAAGGCACUUAUUCGGCCAAGAAGUAGCUGCUAACUAAUUCUAUGUUGACCAUAGAGCUCCUUGAACAUGUUCACACUUUGAAUUGACUUAUAGGCUACUACACAUGCAUGGAUGGGUUCAAGAACGUCCAAGGGAAGGAAUUAACUCAAUAAUUCAACACAUUGAUUGAAUUAAGUGCAUGCACAAAGGGGAGAACGAAUUUACUAGGUUCAUGCUACCAUUUAUGAACUUACAUGCCAUUAAAGUGUUUAAUUAUGAAGAUACAUGGUCCAUACAAGUGCAUGAACGUCCCAAGGAGAUGAAUGCAACCUUUUGGUGCACAUACAAGUCACUUGAAGCCUUUCUUUAUGACUAAGCAUUCAUGCACAAACUAAGGGGGAAGAAAGUGUCCAUUCAGCUAGUGCAUGAAUCUGCCCAAUUUAUGAACUAUUUUAAUACAUUAGUGUGAACGUUUUUAUUAUUGUGUGAACACCUAGAUGCCGAAUUUGAAUGGUCAUCUAUGUGCCUAUAAAUAUUUGUUUUCUUUCAUUUGUAAAGGACUUUUGACUUUUGAUCAUUUGAAUGAACUUUGUUCAAAGAGUGAGUUUUCUCCUCUCUAAAUUCGUACGAGUUUCGAUCUGACUUAUCUAGCAUGCUAGUGGCGUCUAUUGUUCUCUUUUGAACUUAUCACCUUGCUUUGGUGUGGUGUUCAACCUUCUACAAUUCCACAAUCGGUGUUGAACCGAAUAGAAAUCGGGGUGACACUUUUAGUGUUGAAUCAUUUCUGGUGUUUAAGCUCAUUUAUCCAUUCCACCGACUAUCCUAGAUUUUACCCAACUAUAAUAUCUUUUUACAAAACCGAGCCUUCAUUUAUCAACUUCUAUUUUUCUUAUUUUUAUACUUAAAUCGAGCCUACUACCCUUAUAAAUUUACCAUCACCUUAGCCAACCUUUAAAACCAUUUGAAAGCUUCCGCAUCUUUAGCCUUAUUUCAUCCUAUUUUCGAUAACUCAACUAUUCCUCGUCGACGAUCGGGCAGUCAAGUGAAUCGACUCAAUCAACCGAGCCGGAUCACAUCACCGUCCCCUUACAUGUAUCUUCUUUUAAUUCAUUCAUGCACCAAGGACGUCCAAAUGUGAUGUACCUACAGCAAAAUUUAUUCAAUAAAUUAAAUACAUUUUUAAACACAUUAAUUUGGCAGCAAAUGACACAAAAAUUAUGCACAUUAAAUUCGGCCGCCUUAGGACAUAAUUAAAACAUGUAAUAAAAUUGACACAUUAAAACAUGCAUAAAAAACAUAUUAAUGAGCUGUAGAAAUUAAGACAAAUUAAUAACAUAUAAUUAUAACUCAAUUAUCAUGCAUAAUUAAAUUUGUCCAGAUUUUAAACCAAAUAAAUAAUGAAUAUUAAUUGAGCUGUAAUAAACUAAUUAAAUGACUCAAAUAAUUAUUUCAGCUACUAUAAUAAGGUCUUAAUGAAAUUGAGCUAGUUCGAGCUCAUUGAGCUUGAAAGGAGCUGGAAACGAGCUAAAUGAAGCUCCACAAAAUAAGAUUGAGCUACGUCCAGCUUGCAAACACGACGAGCCUCGCUUGUAGGCUGAUGCAAUGGUCGUUCCCAAGGGCGGGUCGUAUCAAACUUGUUUCACGACUUUAAGCUCACCUCCAUCAUUGAGCCAUUGAAGCUUGUACGGGCUCGGAUGUUUGGUGGUUGGCAAUCCUAAUUUCUCCACCAUGAAAGUGCUUGCCACAUUCCUGCAACUUCCACCGUCUAUAAUAAUACUACAAAUUUUACCUUGGAUUUGGCAUCUCGAAUGGAAAAUAUUCUCUCGUUGUUGCUCGUUCUCCGCUCCUUGAAGACUUAGACUUCGUUUGAUUACAAGCAACUCUCCUUCAACAGGGUGUUCCAAAUCCUCUUCUUCGUCAGAAUUCAAUUCAACCUCAUUGAUACGCCCCGGCUCGGGAAGGAGAGUCGAGUCGUAGAUGUGCCCGAUCGUGAAUUGGAGUAAUUUGAAAGCUUUACAAAAUAGGCUAGAAGAAAAGGAAUUAUUUAGGCUCAAAAGAGUUUUGUUGGUUUAGGAAAUGAAUUAGAAGACAAUGGAUGUAAUUUGGCUAAGGAUUCAAAAGCCGAACUAACACAAUAGUAGUGUGUUAACCCGUAACUUAUGAGAAUGCUUAGGUUGGUAAGGUGUCAAUGGAAGGUUUGUUAAGUGGAUAGAAACUUCGACCCGCUAUCAAAAAUGAUAGGAACCUCAGUACGAAUCGAACGCCACACUUUCGGGAUUAAAGUGAUAAGUUCGGAUAGAAAGACGGGUUGACGCCACAAGGGUUACUUGAUAAGUCAGACGAGUCUUUGGAGAACAAUGAGAGUUGAAAACAAACUCACAAAGUAAUCAGAUUUCAUAUAAAGUUUAAAAGUAUAUUGUCUAACCCGAAAAUGAUUACAAACAAACUAUUUAUAGUCUAAGAAGUGCCCAACCGAAUAGUCACAAUAAACAUAUUUAAUUGAGCUAAAUUAAUAAGCUGAAAUAUCUUAAUAACUAAGCUCAAUGCUUUUUGAAAUAUUCUAGGCCUUGGAAACGGUAAUGGGCAGCAGCUUAAAGUCCCAAUUCAGCUGAACAAAUGAGUUGAUUUCUAAGGCUGGAAGAGUUCAACGUUUUUAGUAGAUAAUGACUUAAAUUCUCUUCAUUAAAUCAGCCUUGAGAAUCCUAAUGAUCAGCAGCAGCAUUAGUGACGUCUUGGCACACAAAACAGCUUCUUUGGGUAGUGUAAAGUUCAGCCUUGAAGAGAGGAAACGCCAAGCAUGUUGUUGGCCGAAUGGCUACUUGAAAAUACCAACCAGCAGCCCUUUGAUGUUCACGAAAAUAGCACUUUUAAUGCUUCAUGUAUUCUCUUUUCAGCAGCUAAUUAAUGGACUUCCCUUGCAUGCUGGACAACUCCUUAAAAACGUGUUCUGCUGUACAUUGAAUAAGGCCAGCCACUUUAAUGCAUUCCAGCAUCUCAUUGAAUGGCCGACUCUUGCAUGCCCAACAGCACCUUAAAUACAUGUCUAUGCUUUACAUUAAAUUCGGCCAACACCUUCUUUAUUGCUGCUAUUGAACAUCACCUUAAAUGCAUGUCUAUGCUUUACAUUAAAUUCCGUUCCUUGCAUGUAGAACAACAACUUAAAUGCAUGUCUCCUUUGCCAUUAAGUAGUUGUUUCCAGCUGAAUUAAUUACCUGCAGACACAAAAUAAAUUCGGUCAAGACAUAAAUUAAACCUCAUUAAAUUCGGCAGCCUCCUUUAAUACAUAAUUAACUCAUGCAUGAAACAAACAAGUUAAUUAACAUAUUAAUUUUGGCUGGACAAUAAAAACAACAAUAAAUUCGUCACUUUUAAAGAACUUAAGACACAUUUAAUACUACUCUUUAAUUCGGCUGAAACUAAUAAAAAAAACAUUAAUAAAUUCAGCAUAUUAAAUAGAUGUAAUAAAUAAAACACAAUCAAUUAAACUAAAAAAAUUAUUAAAGAUGUUCAGAUUUAAACAUAUUAAUUUACUAACACUUAUUUGAGCUGAAUUAAAUAAAUAAACUAACUUAUUCAAUUUAUUUCAGCAAAUGAAAUCAGAAGAAUUAAAAUAAACUCAAAUUGAGCAAAAUGAUCCCAUUGAGCUGGAAACAAGCUAAACGAAGCUCAGCGAGAUGCAAUUGAGCUAAUUUAGCUCGCAUGGAUGUGCAAGAAAUACUUAUGGAGCUGAUCGAAAAAUGUGCCCGGGGCGUGGUCGUAUCACUCAUCUUCCUCUUCAUCCUCCGUUUCAAUUUCACCAUCAGCAUGCAAUAUCAUGCUGUUCCGAUUUGGACACUGACUUGCGAUAUGUCCUCUUCCCAAACAUUUAAAACAUUUGAUAUCUCUUGAACGGUUGGACGGGCUCUUAAUGGCUUUUCAGAAAACUUUUGCUAACGCCUUGUCCCCAUCUUGAAGAAUUUAUAGUGGAAUAACCUCGAGUAACACCUUUUCACUUCAUUUCUUUUUCCACUUUGAUGGCCAUGUGUACCAUGUCCGUCACACCUCAAUAUAAUGUUGAAGUUCGACUACGUUAGCAAUAUUGAUGUGAUCCGGCUCGGUUGAUUGAGUCGAUUCACUUGAUUGCCCGAUCGUCGACGAGAAGUUUGUUCGAUUUUGUAGAUAGAUGGAGUUAGAUGAUUUUUUAUAGCGGAAGUUGAGAAAAUAGGUUCAAAAGAUGGUUUGGAUAGAUGUUUAAUAGGCUCGGUGAAAUAAAGAAAUAUUGUUUAUAAUUUAAUAGUUAAAAUGGAAUGGAAAAAUAGAACUCAAGCGAAGAACGAUUCAAUACUAUAUGAAGUAUUGCCCCGGGACUUAUAUUGCUUAAGGUGGGUUUAAUGGAUUGUCGAAGAUGGACCUUGACCCGUUACCUAUAGAGAGGUAGGAACCAAAGGUAUAAAAAGGUGGAUGAACGCCACACCAGGAUGGUGAUAAGUUCAAGAAGUCGGGUUGACGCCACUAGCGAGCUAGAUAAGUCAGAACGAGACUCGUACGGAAUAGGAGAGGAGGAAACCUCACAAUCAAGUUUUCAAUAAUCAAAUUCUGUAACCUUUUACAAUAAACAAAAUAAACUAUUUAUAGGCUCUCUAAUGCCUAUUAAAAUUCAGCUACAAAUGUGUUCACACAACAAUUAAAAAUGUUCACACUUCAAGCAUUAAAUCUCUGUUCAUGGAUAGUGUAAGUUCAUGCAUGGUUGAAUAAUCAUGUUUCUUCCCAAAACCCGUUCAUGCAUGCUUAACCAAUAAGAAAGCUUCCUUGUUCCAUGAAUGUGCAUAUUCAAUUCAUAUCCAACCCCUCUUGGACGAAUGCUAGGUGCAUGGGUCAUGCAUCUCUCUUAAUUAAAACUUUAAUGAUGGGCUGGUUCAUGAAUGGAAGCAUGUACCUUAUAAAUUCGUUCUCCCCUUUGUACAUGCACAUUAUACAUUCAAUGUGAUGAAUUAAGGUAAUAUUCCCUCCCUUUGGACGUUCAUGAAUCCACCCAUACACAUGUAUAGGAGCUGAUUGGUCAAAUUGAGGUGUGAAUGGCUUAGAUGCUGCCUUGGGAAUACGAUCGGCCAAGCUUGUGCUUUAAGUUGCUGGACACCUUUUGGCCAAAUAGGUGCCUUGGGGAGCCAAAUGGAUCAGCCACCAUUCAUUGAAAGAGGCCUUACAUGCACCGUCCCAUACAUUGAAGCUAUCAUGCAUGAACCUUGUUUAAUUACUCUCCAAAUUCAACUCACCUACAAAAACACAUGAACCAAAAUUAAAUCACAUAAAAUUCAGCUGAACAAACAUUAAUAUAAUUUAGACACACUAAUUAAACAUAAAUUAAAUUAGACAAAUUUAAAAAAGUCUUAAUAAGACAUAUUAAAUUCGGCCAAGACACAUUUAAAACAUGUAAUAAGUCAAAACAUAAUUAUAAGCUGCAGUAAUUUAAGCUAAAUUAAUAAAUUACUUAAUUUAUUCAGACAUUAAAAUAAAUAAGUUGAAAUAAACUUAAGCCAAGCUCAAACGAGCUAAAGUAAGCUAAAUUGAGCUCAAACGAGCUAAAUUAAGCUCAUGUGAGCUAAAUCGAGCUGGGAAAAACUAAGAUUGAGCUUGUUGAGCUGAGAUUGAGCUUCAUCUUACACUUGGGGACCUCGUGUUUUAGGCCAAUCAUGAUAGCAACGAGUGGUGCCACAACAUGAUGCGAUUGAGAUCACAUCAUACCCUCCCUCUUGAAGACGAUUUGUCCUCAAAUCGGGCCACUUGCUCGCGAAAAAUUUUUCGAGAUCACAAGCCCUUUUGUUCAUGAUCCGAAAAGUAUUGUUUUUAAAACUCCAGGAACCACAAAUGGUUUGAAAAGAAAAUGAUUUAGUUCCAUGCCCUCCCUCUUUAGAAGGAAACCAUUCCAAAGUGUCACCUACAUAGAAAUGGAACGAAUUAGUGACACUAAAAUUUAUAAACUCAAACGAUCUUUUCAGAAUCUUAUUCAAAAUUAGAAUGCAUAAUCCAAUGCCGGGAUCAAAUGUAGAAGUGGAUCUUACCUGUUCACAAUGGUUUUCCAUACUUGGUAAUAAAGGAUGCAUCAGAAUCAAAUCAAAUUUAUAAUCAAAAUUUAUCAAGGAAUCCUCCAAAUGAUCAUGUAAUCUAAGUUCCACUCGAUCAAUCUUACUUAAACAUGCAGAAUUUAUAUAGCAAGGCAGAUUUGAGACACCAUCUUCAAAUUCAAAUGCACUAACCAUUUUACAUGCCAUCGUCUUAUCACAUAUUCGGAUCAAAAGAAAAUUAAACAAGCAUGCCUUUAAACAUUCAUAUGCCUUGAUUCUGUUAAACAAAAAUAAACAACAUUCUCCACAAUCAAAAAUUUGAUUUUGUCUUAACAAGCCAACAAGAUUCACACGUCUCGUUUUCAAACUUAGUGACAAAGCAUCAUACAAGCAACGAUUGUUUACUUGGUCAUUCAAACAAAAUUUACAAUGCUUGCCUUCUCUCAAAGAUGAACCAGAAUAGCGAACUCCAAGGUUGAACACACGAUAUUGUUCACUCGUUCCAAAAUGCAGUGUGAAUUUCUUAAUUACCAACAAUUCACACAAAUGGAACAAAAAGAAUUUGAGCAUGCAUAUGUUCAAACAUUCAUACAUCGUAAAUCUCAUUCGAAUAGACUUGUUCAAACAUGGGGGAUUUACGCAAAAAAAUAGAAAAUUCAAAUUAUCACCACACACAAGUAGACUAGGCGUUUCACAUGCCAACUUUUUAUCACAAGAGUUCAAAAUUUGUUUGUGCGGAUUUAUUCGUACUUCAGUAAAAUUCUUGCCAAUACCAUACUCAUCAAUAGGAAAACACUUCUUACCACUAUGGAAGGUGUAAUCACCAUCAUUCAGAAUAUGAUAAUCAAACAAAUCGAACUUUGUAUGUGAAUAAUCUUUAUCGCACACUAUCACACUUUGUUCAUGCUGAUCUAAUCGAACGCCUUCAAUAAAAUUGCCAGCAACAAACUUAUCAUAGAAAAAACUUUUCAAAGCACUAGUUGAAACAAAAUCAUAAAUAAUAGAUGAACGAAAAUUAACCAAUUCAAUGGGGAAAACCCUUUCGCAGAAACAAUUUUCAGCAAUCUUGUCAUAAACAUGUGAGUAAAUGAGUUGAAACUCGCUCAACAAGGAACCCUUACCUUGCUUACCAUUGGAAAUGUGACAAUCAUUUUUAUCUUCCAACUUACCUCUUUCAAUCAAUUGAAAACGUCUCUCGGUAGAAAGGUAAUGAAGUUGGAACCAAUCCGUGGAUGGAAUCUUGCAAACCUGAAACAAAGAAAAAUCACAAGGUAAUUUCGAAAGGGGGUUAGCAAAAGAAUUCCUCUCUUUUUCGUGAUUACUCACUUCACUCGUUUCUUUUAUAGACUCUCUUUCUUUUUCACUUGAUUUCUUUUCAAGCUCUCUUUCAAUUUCUUUUUUCGCUUUUUCUUUUUCAAUUUUCUUUUCUUCAUUUUCUUUUUCUCUCACUUUUUUGAUUUCUUUUUCUCUCACUUUUUUGAUUUCUUUUUCUUUUUCAUUUUCUUUUUGUUUUCUUUCAAUUUCUUUUUCAAUCUCUUUCUCCUUUUCUCGCUCAAUGGAUUGCUUCAUUUUGAAUUGGUCUUCUUGCACUUGUUCCGGUGUGAGCGGCGCUAAAGUGAUUUUCCUUCCUUGAUGCUUGAAGGAAUACCUAUUGGUACGUUCAUCGUGAAUGACCUUGCAAUCCGAUUGCCAUGGUUCUCCUAGUAACAAAUGGCAGACUUGAAUAGGCACAACAUCACAAAGGACUUCGUCUUGGUAUCUUCCGAUGGAAAAUGCAACACGCACUUGUUGAGUAACUUCAAAUUUGCCUUCAACACCAAGUCCUUGCAGUUGAUAGGGUCGUGGAUGCUUGGUAGUGGCCAAGCCAAGUUUUUUUACCGUUCGAAUACUAGCCAUGUUUGACCUACUUCCACCAUCAAUAAUGAGGCAACAAACUUUAUCGUGGACACGGCAACGCGUGUGAAACAUAUCUUCACAUUGUGGCUCAUUUUCCAAUCUUUGAAGGAUUGCACUAAUCUUGAUGUCAACGAUAGUAGAUGUCAAAUCUUCCUUAUCUUUGUCGAAUUGUCGAAAUUCAGAUCGCAUUAUCCUUUGCAUUUCUUGUCUCCACAUUUGGAAUUCAAAUUCAGAAAAUUCUUCAGACAUGCUUCAACAAAAUAUUAGAAAAUAAAAGUUAAAUUAGAAAGAAAAAUAAUUCUCACCACAAAUCUCUCAAGUUCGCUCAAAAAGAAAAAUUCACUCACUCGUGUUUGAACUCUCUUUUAGGCUUUUUUUUCGAAUGAACUCACGCUCUCUUGCCUUUUACCACUCGACCUCGUCUCACAAAUUCGUAAUUCGUCUCGAUAGACUUAAUUUGCUGCUUGAGGGUCAGUUCCAAAAUGGGUUACAAGGAAUAAUGUCGGGUGUAGGGUAGGCUAAAUAAAGAAAAAAAUUGGUUUAAAGUUUGGCGUUGGAAUGGGUAAAUAAUGGUAGGAAGGGAAACUUGAUGAUCGGAGUAAUAAGUGAUAAUGAUAAAAAAUUUCGCAAGACUUUUCACUUUUUUUUUUCUUUUAACUCGAUUUUUUUUUUCACUUCUUUUUUUUUUAAUUUUUUUGUUACUCCAAUACAAUAGUAAGCUAAAUACAAGGGAAAAAAAUUAAAUUACAACUCAAAUUUUUUUUUUGAUUUUUUUUCACGUUUCGAACCUACUUGCGGCCUUAUUACAAAUGUCAGCGCUCCUCGUUUCAGUAGCUCUGAUACCAAAUGAUGUGAUCCGGCUCGGUUGAUUGAGUUGAUUCACUUGAUUGCCCGAUCGUCGACGAGAAGUUUGUUCGAUUUUGUAGAUAGAUGGAGUUAGAUGAUUUUUUAUAACAGAAGUUGAGAAAAUGGGUUCAAAAGAUGGUUUGGAUAGAUGUUUGAUAGGCUCGGUGAAAUAAAGAAAUAUUGUUUAUAAUUUAAUAGUUAAAAUGGAAUGGAAAAAUAGAACUCAAGCGAAGAACGAUUCAAUACUAUAUGAAGUAUUGCCCCGGGACUUAUAUUGCUUAAGGUGGGUUUAAUGGAUUGUCGAAGAUGGACCUUGACCCGUUACCUAUAGAGAGGUAGGAACCAAAGGUAUAAAAAGGUGGAUGAACGCCACACCAGGAUGGUGAUAAGUUCAAGAAGUCGGGUUGACGCCACUAGCGAGCUAGAUAAGUCAGAACGAGACUCGUACGGAAUAGGAUAGGAGGAAACCUCACAAUCAAGUUUUCAAUAAUCAAAUUCUGUAACCUUUUACAAUAAACAAAAUAAACUAUUUAUAGGCUCUCUAAUGCCUAUUAAAAUUCAGCUACUAAUGUGUUCACACAACAAUUAAAAAUGUUCACACUUCAAGCAUUAAAUCUCUGUUCAUGGAUAGUGUAAGUUCAUGCAUGGUUGAAUAAUCAUGUUUCUUCCCAAAACCCGUUCAUGCAUGCUUAACCAAUAAGAAAGCUUCCUUGUUCCAUGAAUGUGCAUCUUCAAUUCAUAUCCAACCCCUCUUGGACGAAUGCUAGGUGCAUGGGUCAUGCAUCUCUCUUAAUUAAAACUUUAAUGAUGGGCUGGUUCAUGAAUGGAAGCAUGUACCUUGUAAAUUCGUUCUCCCCUUUGUACAUGCACAUUAUACAUUCAAUGUGAUGAAUUAAGGUAAUAUUCCCUCCCUUUGGACGUUCAUGAAUCCACCCAUACACAUGUAUAGGAGCUGAUUGGUCAAAUUGAGGUGUGAGUGGCUUAGAUGCUGCCUUGGGAAUACGAUCGGCCAAGCUUGUGCUUUAAGUUGCUGGACACCUUUUGGCCAAAUAGGUGCCUUGGGGAGCCAAAUGGAUCAGCCACCAUUCAUUGAAAGAGGCCUUACAUGCACCGUCCCAUACAUUGAAGCUAUCAUGCAUGAACCUUGUUUAAUUACUCUCCAAAUUCAACUCACCUACAAAAACACAUGAACCAAAAUUAAAUCACAUAAAAUUCAGCUGAACAAACAUUAAUAUAAUUUAGACACACUAAUUAAACAUAAAUUAAAUUAGACAAAUUUAAUAAAGUCUUAACAAGACAUAUUAAAUUCGGCCAAGACACAUUUAAAACAUGUAAUAAGUCAAAACAUAAUUAUAAGCUGUAGUAAUUUAAGCUAAAUUAAUAAAUUACUUAAUUUAUUCAGACAUUAAAAUAAAUGAGUUGAAAUAAACUUAAGCCAAGCUCAAACGAGCUAAAGUAAGCUAAAUUGAGCUCAAACGAGCUAAAUUAAGCUCAUGUGAGCUAAAUCGAGCUGGGAAAAACUAAGAUUGAGCUUGUUGAGCUGAGAUUGAGCUUCAUCUUGCACUUGGGGACCUCGUGUUUUAGGCCAAUCAUGAUAGCAACGAGUGGUGCCACAACAUGAUGCGAUUGAGAUCACAUCAAAUAUCACGAUUGAGUCCAGCUAGAAAACGAGCCAUCGUUGCCUUGCAGUCUUCUUGUACAUCCGCACGAAUCAUCGCCACCUCCAUUUCCUUGUAAUAAUCUUCUACGCUUUUAGUUCCUUGAGAAAGAUUUUGAUGUUUUUGAUGAAGUUCUCGAUGAUAAUACGAAGGAAUGAACCGCCGUCGCAUUGCCGCUUUCAUUUCAGCCCAGGUGGUAAUAGGCCUGAUACGAGUCACAAAGGCCCAACCCAAGCUUAAGAAGGUGAUGGGCUCAAAUCAAGAAAAUCAAGAUUCACUUUCUUGUUUUGAAGAAAAUCAAGAAAUCGUAUCUUGGCCCAAUUUUGCUGUUCGGAGCAAUUUCAAGAAUCAAGAAAAUCAAGAUUUCAAAUCUUGGUCCAAGAAACCGAAUCUUGCAGCCAAAGCGCGUUGGAUCUCCAUUACGAGCGUUAACGACCCAAUUUCGGUAGGAGAUGGAUUACAAGCCCAAAUUCUUAAAAGCGAGGCCCAAUAAGCAAAUUCCUAGCCCAAUCAAGAAAUCCAUACAUAUUUAGUUGAAAAUCAAGCCAAAAUGUCAAAGGGCCCAAUUUGUAAACAUUUUAGUUGUUUAAGUUAAUUUUUUAAGUUUUAGGAAUAUCACAUGUUAAAUUCGGCCCAAAACAGCCCAAUAGGAUGCAUGGCCGAAUUUUCCUUUGUUUUUUUUAAUUAAGUUUAAAUUUUUUAAGUUUUCUAAUUAGAUUAGGAUUUGUUGGAGGCCUAUAUAAGCAUUGGCCAGCCACCCUUUGUAAACAUCUUAUUAUUAUUUUUUUCUAUCAAAUUUCAGAUUUGUUAAGUGCAGAAUUUUCUUUGGGGUUUUCUCCAAGAAUUCUCUCUUGAGUUUUCUUUAGAAGUUGUUUUAACAAUCUUUUGAUUGUGGGAGCCAUCUUCAACCUUCUUCUUGCCAUCGAUAUUCUUUGGAGGGGAGAUUAGAGCCGUUUGAAGAGAUUUGUGAAAUCUUUCGAGAUUUCAAGGAUCUUUAGGACUUAUCCUUUAAUUCUUGCUGUUUUCUAUUUCUUUCUUUACUUUUCUUUGCUUAUACUUGUGCCGAUUUCUCAUCUAAUAUUUUGCUGUUCUUGUUUGUUUUCCAGCAUUGAUUAAACUCAAGAUCUCAUCGUUUAAGUUGUUCUCCUAUUGGCAGCACCCAUUCGAACCCAAAAAUCCCCAAUUCCUUGGGUUUGGCCGAUUGGAUUUCUUUCAAUUUUGGAAUCAAUUGAUUGCUGGAAAUUGGGCAUUCUUGGCCGAAUCAAUUUGUUGACCGAUUCGCAAUCUUUCUAUACUUCCAAUUUCGUUUGAUUCAUCUAUUCUAUUUCUUUGUUUCUUGCUGCUCCUUUAAUUGAAUUUGGGGAUUUAAUUUCAGGUCUGAUUAGUUUAAUCUUGUUAUUUGUUUUAAUUUUCAGAUCUGUUCGUUUAGAGCUUUCAUAGGAGUUUCCCGUGACUUGGAAACUCGAUCUUGGUCUGCGCGCAACCCCUUAUCAUUUGGUAUUAGAUUUUGGGUGUUUUGGGUGUUCUUGGUUGAUUUCUAAACUGAUCUCUAUUUUUUAAAGCACAAACAGCAGUUUUACCCAGAAAAAUUAUUCAAAAAAAAUUCAUUUGAGUGGGUAAACAUUGUCUGAUUGAUUUGAAAUUUUACAUACAUGUUUUUGGCACUGUGAUUGAAUAUAAAAAAAUUAUUCCCGCAAAAAAAUCAGUCAAAAAGUCAAAAGAAUAAAAAAAGACGAAAUUCAAUAAAAAUUUUAAAAAAGAUUCAGCGGGUUGAAUUUGGUGCCCAAAAUUUCCAGAUCAAAAAUUCAAUAUUUAAGGACAUUCCAGAUUUAAUUUCGUGAUAUUUAGAGAUCAGAAACACCUCAAACGAAGUUGUCAAGUUACUCCACAGUUUUUCGGGUUUUCUGUUUUCAGCAAUUUUUAUUGAUUCUUAGCUGUAGGUUUUCAUUUGUUUGCUUUUAUUCUUCCGUUACAUUAUAUAACACCUUCUUGUUUCUUGUGUUAGUAGGAUUUACACGUGUGCACAACUCCUUCCUCGGUGCAACACGAAUCACUUGGUGUCUCGUCAGUUUUUGGCAUCCUAGUGCAAAUUAGGAUUCUUUGGUAGUUUGGUUCACACUCUCUAAUUGGUUGGUAUAAACUCUGAUAAAGAACUCACAAGAUUGAAUUUGACCUCAUUGAGAAUUUGAUUUUUCUUUUUGAGUGAUUAAUGGUGAGGUUUGCUAACUUUUAUUUUUGAGUGUUGAGUGUUUAUUUUUUACAGGUUUUGAAGAUGUCUAAAGGUGAUAAUAAUGAUGCACUUAUGAAAGUCCAACAACAGUUAGACGAACAUACUGCUGCAAUCACACAAAUAAAUGCUACACUUCAAGCAUUGAAUACUACUUUGAAUGAGGUACGAGUGAAUCAAAAACAUCAAUAUCGAGAUCCAAUUAAGGAAGAUAGGGAUAACCAGCCCUAUAGGUGCAGCCCUCAACGUGUCCCUAGAAUGGAUGAUGAUUUUCAUGAUCGUGGACAAUCAUCUUUGGCAAAACCAAAGAGCGAGCAGCAACGAGAACAUCUCUUUCAUACUCGCUGCCAUGUACAAGGUAAGCUUUGUAGAGUUAUUAUUGAUGGUGAAAGUUGCUCGAACAUAGCCAGCACGACGAUGGUGGAAAAGCUUUGCUUAACCACUUCCAAGCAUCCACAACCUUAUCAACUACAAGGGCUUAGCAACAAAGGCCAAUUUAGGGUCACUCAACAAGUGCGCAUCGCCUUUUCUAUCAGUAAGUAUCAAGACGAAGUUGUGUGCAACGUAAUGCCUAUUCAAGCCUGCCAUUUGUUGCUAGGAGAACCAUGGCAACUGGAUCGAAAAGUCACUCACGAUGGUCGUACCAAUAGGUAUUCUUUCAAGCAUCAAGGAAAGAAACUCACCUUAGUGCCGCUCACUCCGGAACAAGUCCAUGAGGACCAAAUCAAACUGAAAAAUUCUGUUAAAACAAGUGAGGAAAAAGAAAAAGAGAAUGAAAAAGAGCAAAAAGAGAUUGAGAGUGAAAAAGAAAUUGAAGAAAGAAGAGAAAAUGAAUUAGAAAAAGAAACAAAAGAAAAAGACGUGGAAAGGGUAGUGAGGAAUGUUUCCACUAACCAAGAUAUGAAUUUUUCUUGUGUUGCUACUUUUCAGGUUCCCGAAAGAUCGAAAGAUAACUUUCAACUUCAAUACCUCUCAAAUGAAAGACGCUUUCAUACGAUCAACUUAGGAAAAGAUGAAAUCACACUACAUGAUCCCGAAGGUAAGCGAAGUAAGGAAAUUUUAGAAACCGAGUCCAGUGCAGAUUUGAAAAUUAUUGAUAAAACUUUUGGUGACUUAGUUCUUAAAAGAUCCCCUCAUUUUGAUCCGAUUAAUUAUUACUCUUCGAUUGUGGUUGAUAAAGUCAUUACGAAAAGAAGCGUGAUUUGUUAUUCUCUUGAUUUACCUUGUGUACAAUCCUUGAAUUUGUCCAAAUCUGUUUUGGAGAAUAAGGUAACGAAAUUUUCCAAAUCUGUUUUCAAUUUAUAUUCGUGCCUUAAACAGUUUAUGUGGUUGUACAUGAAGUUUGAGUUCCAUUUGACAAAGGUUAACUCAACAACGGAGAUUUGACUACACUAUGCCCCCGAUGAGCGAAGGUUUGUUUUAAAUGAAAAAGGUAAAAUCGACCCUUAUUCUUUUGCUUAUCAAGGUAAGAUGCUUGAAACCUUUGAAACACUUUUGUACUCCUCGGAUAGUGACAAAGAUCGUGUUGAUGAACACUUAGAUCGAAAUGUGCUUGACUGUCCUAUUUUAUUUAUUGAUGAUAAAUCUAUUUUGAUGGUUGAUAAAAAGAUUCUUGUUUUUGAUAAUGCAUGUGUGAGUGAAUCUAUAAACCGUCGAUUAAUGCAUGGUAAUCUGAAUCUGUCCAUUCACAUGCGUUAUACCUGUUCUAUUAUGCUUAUAAUUGGACUACAACCUUGUUUGCGUUGCUAUUUACUAUUUCAUGGCUAUUCUUUUCAGUGGACUCAAUUGCCAUUAGUCCCGUUCGAUCGAGGAAAGUCGAGUUCAUUUGAUUUUUUAGAUUCGAGGACGAAUCUUUUUGAGGAAGGGGGAAUGAUACGAGUCACAAAGGCCCAACCCAAGCUUAAGAAGGUGAUGGGCUCAAAUCAAGAAAAUCAAGAUUCACUUUCUUAUUUUCAAGAAAAUCAAGAAAUCGAAUCUUGGCCCAAUUUUGCUGUUCGGAGCGAUUUCAAGAAUCAAGAAAAUCAAGAUUUCAAAUCUUGGAAAUCUUGGUCCAAGAAACCGAAUCUUGUAGCCAAAGCGCGUUGGAUCUCCAUUACGAGCGUCAACGACCCAAUUUCGGUAGGAGAUGGAUCACAAGCCCAAAUUCUUAAAAGCGAGGCCCAAUAAGCAAAUUCCUAGCCCAAUCAAGAAAUCCAUACAUAUUUAGUUGAAAAUCAGGCCAAAAUGUUAAAGGGCCCAAUUUGUAAACAUUUUAGUUGUUUAAGUUAAUUUUUUAAGUUUUAGGAAUAUCACAUGUUAAAUUCGGCCCAAAACAGCCCAAUAAGAUGCAUGGCCGAAUUUUCCUUUGUUUUUUUAAUUAAGUUUAAAUUUUUUAAGUUUUCUAAUUAGAUUAGGAUUUGUUGGAGGCCUAUAUAAGCAUUGGCCGGCCACCCUUUGUAAACAUCUUAUUAUUAUUUUUUUCUAUCAAAUUUUAGAUUUGUUGAGUGCAUAAUUUUCUUUGGGGUUUUCUCCAAGAAUUCUCUCUUGAGUUUUCUUUAGAAGUUGUUUUAACAAUCUUUUGAUUGUGGGAGCCAUCUUCAACCUUCUUCUUGCCAUCGAUAUUCUUUGGAGGGGAGAUUAGAGCCGUUUGAAGAGAUUUGUGAAAUCUUUCGAGAUUUCAAGGAUCUUUAGGACUUAUCCUUUAAUUCUUGUUGUUUUCUAUUUCUUUCUUUACUUUUCUUUGCUUAUACUUGUGCCGAUUUCUCAUCUAAUAUUUUGCUGUUCUUGUUUGUUUUCCAGCAUUGAUUAAACUCAAGAUCUCAUCGUUUAAGUUGUUCUCCUAUUGGCAGCACCCAUUCGAACCCAAAAAUCCCCAAUUCCUAGGGUUUGGCCGAUUGGAUUUCUUUCAAUUUGGGAAUCAAUUGAUUGCUGGAAAUUGGGCAUUCUUGGCCGAAUCAAUUUGUUGACCGAUUCGCAAUCUUUCUAUACUUCCAAUUUCGUUUGAUUCAUCUAUUCUAUUUCUUUAUUUCUUGCUGCUCCUUUAAUUGAAUUUGGGGAUUUAAUUUCAGGUCUGAUUAGUUUAAUCUUGUUAUUUGUUUUAAUUUUCAGAUCUGUUCGUUUAGAGCUUUCGUAGGAGUUUCCCGUGACUUGGCAACUCGAUCUUGGUCCACGCGCAACUCCGUAUCAAGGCCUUUUGACCUUCUUAUUGUGAAUUGAUCCCACCAGAUCAUCGCGUAAUCAGAAAACUCGAUUGCGGCUAUUUUGACCUUCUUAUUCUCAGAAUAGUUAUGGCAAUCAAAUACCAAUUCAAUCUUUUUCUCCCACUUUAGAUACGCCUCAGGGUCAGAUUUGCCUUGAAAAGGCGAUAUUGACAACUUUAUAUUCUUGAGAUCAUCAUCUUCUCAUCUUUGAACUCUUUGGCCUCGAUUUCGUUGUUCUCUUUGUUGAACACUCACAUUGGACCCUUCGUCACUUUCAGCCCCAUUAAGUUCAAGUGGUUCAUCUUCAUUAAAUUGUUGUCGGCCACGAUUUCUAGGGGGACUUUGAGGUGUCCUUCUCCGACGUGCUCUCUCUUCAGCCAAGUCCAACCUUUCUUGUAUCGGUUCAAGCUUCUUGUCAAAAAGUCGCUCCACCUCACUUAACAUGGCUUGAAGAGUAAGGUCUGGAACAUUUCGAACAGGUUGUCAUGCUUGUCGCUCCUCCAUAUUUUGAUCCAAAUUUUGUGACAUAAAACAAAUUAAACAAUUCAGAACUAAAGAAAGAUAAUAAUAAAAAAACCUCACAACAAACCUUAUAUUCACUCGGAAAAAAAGAAAAUGUUAGCACUCACGCUCGUGUUUACACUCGUAUGUUGGCUUUUACCUCCUCUCUAUUGUGCUCACGCUCUAGUGCCUUUUUUCACUGAUACAGUAUUACACGCGGACCAAGAUCGAGUUGCCAAGUCACGGGAAACUCCUACGAAAACCCUAAACAAUCAGAUCCGAAACGAAACAGAAAAAUUAAAAGAUUAGAACUUUGAAUUUCUAGAUCUGAAAUAAAAUCCCCAAAUCAGCAAAGAAUCAAAUUGAGAAUAGAAAUAAGUGUUAGGGUUCUUGAAACCCUCAAGGAGAUUGUGAUUCUGCCCAAUUGAACACCAAGAUAGUUUUCCCCAAAUUUCGACAAUCUAAUUUCACCCAAAAAGAGUAUGGAAAAACCCUAGAAAUUGGGGAUUUUUGGGCUGAUUCCUUAAGAUAGAAAAAGGCUAAAAACACAAUACGAACAGAAAAUAGAUUAGAUAAUGAUUCAGCACAAGUAGAAAUAAAGAAAGAAUUGAUAGUAAGAAAUUAAAAGAUAAGUCCUAAGAAGCCUUAAAAUCUCGAAAGAUCUCACAACUCCCUUCAAACGGCUCUAAUCUCGCCUCCAAAGAAUAUCAAUGGCAAGAAGAAGGUUGAAGAUGGCUCCCACAAUCAAAAGAUUGUUAAAACAACUUCUAAAGAAAACUGAAGAGAGAAAUCUUGGAGAAAACCCCAAAGAAAAUUCUGCACUCAACAAAUCUGAAAUUUGAUAGAAAAAAUAAUAAUAAGAUGUUUUUACAAAGGGUGACUGGCCAAUGCUUAUAUAGGCCUCCAACAAAUCCUAAUCUCACAAGUAACUAAUAAAAAAUUAAACCUAAUUAAUAAAAUAACAAGGUAAAUUCGGCCAUGCACUUAUAUGGGCUGUUUUGGGCCGAAUUUUACAUGUAAUGCUCCUAAAGAUUAAAAAAUUAAAUUAAACAAGUAAGAUGUUUACAAAUUGGGCCCUUUGACAUUUUGGCCUGAUUUUCAACUAAGUAUGAAGAAAUUUCUUGAUUGGGCUAGAUUUUGGUUAUUGGGCCUCGCCUUCAAGAAUUUGGGCUCGUGAUCCAUCUCCUACCAAAAUUGGGUCGUUGACGCUCGUAAUGGAGAUCCAAUGCGUUUUGGCUGCAAGAUUUGGUUUCUUGGACCAAGAUUUCCAAGAUUUGAAAUCUUGAUUUUCUUGAUUCUUGAAAUCUCUUCGAACAGCAAAAUUGGGCCAAGAUUCGAUUUCUUGAUUUUCUUGAAAACAAGAAAGUGAAUCUUGAUUUUCUUGUUCUCUCGUGUAUGCAUCUAAGGCCUUGCUAACAAGCUCUUUAAUGGUCCCAUUUAGUUUGGACCGCAUUUGUCGGGCCUUUGAUCUCGUUAUUGGGCCUUGUGGCAAUUUGAGCCCAUCACGUUCUUGAACUUGGAUUGGGCCUUUAUGACUCGUAUCAUCCACUCCUUAUUUUCUCGUGACUUUGUAAGCAGACUUGCCAAGGCUCAAUCAUAGGCGAUCUGAUAUUUAGUAAAGAAGAGGACGAAUCAGAUUUGGAAUGCUUUGGAAUGCCUGAAAUGCAACAAGAACAGCAAACAAAGUGAUUAAAUAAAAUUGACACAAGCAGAAUUUAAAAGAAAAAAAAUUGACAGCAAGAAAUUAAAAGAUAAGUCCUAAGAAGCCUUGAAAUCCCGAAAGAUAUCACAACUCCCUUCAAACGGAUUUAAUCUCCCCUCCAAAGAAUAUUAAUUGCAAGAAGAAGGCUGAAGAUGGCUCCCACAAUCAAAAGAUUGUUAAAACAACUUCUAAAGAAAACUUGAUGUGAGCUUGCCUACGAACCAAAUGGAGAACGAACAAGAAGCCAUCAAGCUGCCCAUUGGUCCAAUAACGCGAGCUAGAGCUAAACGAUUCAAAGAUGCUAUUUUAGCAAUGGUGGAAUGGGUUGAGGAAAAUGAUAGCAAGGAGUUUAAAAACGAGCUGAACAUAUUCAACUUCUUUGAAGCUGAAUUUCGUUCUAGCUAAUUAAUUUGCUACUGGAAUUUAGACCAUUUAAAUAAACAUUUAAAUAAGUUUCAUUACAGCUUUUAAAUAUGUCUUAAUUAAUUUAAGUGUUUAAUAUGUAUUGAUUUAGUUAAAUUAAAGAUGUCUUGAUGUCAUUUAGUUUGUCUAAAUUAUUACAUGUUUUAAAUUUGUCCAGCCGAAUUUAUGUGUUAUGAUUUGUUAAUAUUUAAGUUGUCUUAAUGUUAUUUAGGAUGUUCACAUUAUACUUUAAUUUAGUUCAGCUGAAUUUGCUUGAAAUUAAUUAAGUUCAUGUGUGUUUUUAGGUGCAGCCGAAUUUGAAGAUGAAUUGGGCAGAUUCAUGCAUGGAGAUUCAAUGAAUUUGAAGAUGCAUGUGCAGCUGAUUUAAUGCAUUAAAGCUGAUUAAUUUUUGGAGUUUUUUCAAGGCAAUUAUUCGGCCAAAGUGACCAAGCUUUUCAUCCUUUCAAGAUUGGCCGAUUCUCUUCUCAAGGAAGUAUAAAGGCUGUUCACACUAUGGCUGUUCGGUUCAGCCAUGUUCACACCUCAUGGCCCUUCAAAACCAUCCGUUCACACUUCUAAAUGGCUCUUCAAAUUGCCAAUUAAUGCUGGUAAUUUUUCAGCAAUAGUUGCUUCAUGAAUGACCCCAUUAUGUUCAUUGACCGAACCUAGCCUAUUCAUGCACAUCCAAGAUGUUCAAGGUGCAUUUGCCCAUCUAGAAGAUGACCAUUGGAGCUCUCAUUCAACCGAAUCUACAUGGGCUAAUAAUUUUGCAUUCAUGCUAAAUUUUAGUUCAUUGUUUACUUAGAAACUAAGUCUUGAAUUUGUCCAUUCGGCUACUAGUAGGAAGGCUAUAAAUAGUUGUUGAAUUUCUUGUAAAAGGACUUUUGACAAAUUUCUGAAUGAAAUAUCAUUUUAGUGAGGCAAUUCACUCUCUUUAUUCUUCAAAGCUCAAUUGACUUAUCUUUACGAGUGGCGUCAAUCUGACUUUGUUUCGAACUUAUCACCCUUGGUGUGGCGUUCACAAAUAUACCGAAGGUUCCUAUUUUGCUAAAUAGGGGGUCUCGGUUUUAUCUACCAUCCUUUUCUUUUUCUUUGAAACCUUUAAGCCCGGGUCCUUAUUUGCUAAUAAGGGUUCGUUCUUGUUUCAUUGGAAACCAUUUAUCCCCAUUUUGCUUCCUAAGUCAUCUAAAACCAUCUUAUUGAAUUUGAACUAAAUCGACACUACCUAAAUUCGAUCGGGAACAUAUUACGACUCGUCACAACAUUCGAAACGAGCUCGUAUCAAAACUCAAGAGAGAAUUCUUGGAGAAAAACUCAAGGAGAAUUCUGCACUUAAACAAAUAUGAAAUUUUUAAUAUAUUUGAGAAGUGAAUAACAAGGUGGCCGGCCAAGCCUUUAUAUAGGCCUCUCAAGUGUUUUCCUAAUCUAAUUAGAAAACUAAAAAUAAAAAACUCCUAAUUAUUUUAAUAUUUAAAUGGAAAUUCGGCCAAGGGCUUUUAAUUGGGCCUCUUGGAUUGAAUAUCUACAUAAAAAUUUAAACUAAGUAUUUAAAAAAUAAAACUUUACAAAUUGGGCCACUUUGACAAUUGGCCUGAUUUUCAAGUAAAUAUGGUUUGUCUUCUUGUUUGGGCUUGGAAUCAUCUUAUUGGGCCUUGCCUUCAAGAAUUUGGGCUUGUAUUCCAUCUUCUACAGAAAUUGGUUCGUUGAUGCUCGUAACGGAGAUCCAAUGCGCUUUGGCUGCAAGAAUUGGUUUCUUGGACAAAGAUUUCCAAGAUUUGAAAUCUUGAUUUUCUUGAUUCUUGAAAUCGCUCCAAACAGCAAGAUUGGGCCAAGAUUCGGUUUCUUGAUUUUCUUGAAAACAAGAAAGUGAAUCUUGAUUUUCUUUUUCUUUCAUGUACGCAUCUAAGGCCUUGCUAACAAACUCCUGAAUGGUCCCAUUUAGUUUGGAACGCAUUUGUCGGGCCUUUGAUCUCGUUAUUGGGCCUUGUUGUAAUUUGAGGCCAUCACGUUCUUGGGCUUGGGUUGGGCCUCUGUGACUCGUAUCAUUCCCCUUCCUCAAAAAGAUUCAUCCUCAAAUCUAAAAAAUCAAAUGUGAUAGGGGUUGCUCGCGGACCAAGAUCAAGUCGUCAAGUCACGAGAAACUCCUACGAGGCUCUAAUCUCCUGAUACAACCUCGAUUUAGUGUUGAAUUCGAGUCGUUUAGUUCCCGAUCAUAAACGAAGAAGUAAAUUAAGAAAUAACGAUUCAAGUGAAAGAAAAGGAAUGUAAUUGAAUUCAGAGAAGUCAAAUAGGUUCGAUCAAAGAUGGAUAUGGAAUUGGUUUAGGUUAGAAAGAUGAGAGUAGACUGGUCAAGUUUGGUUUAGAUUUAAUUAAGAAAUAAUGUUGAUUUUGGUACGAUAUGGUAAUGGGGUUUGGUACGAAAUGGUAUGGAAAUUUUGGUACGUAAUAAACCAAAUUUGGCUCUAAAGGGUCAAGAAUGAACCAACACUAAAGAGGAGUGUUGACCCGAAACUUAUAGGACCUAAAAAGAGUCAGAAAUGGCAAUUUGUAAACCUUGACCCGAUACUUAAGAAAGUAUGAACCAAAGGUAUUAGGGUGAAUGCCACACUCGGGUUUAGGGAGUGAUAAGUUCAAAAAGACUCGGGAAGACGCCACUAGAAGCUAGAUAAGUCUUACGGGUAUCUAACGAAAUUUGAAAGAAAAUGCCUCACAAAUUCGGCAGCAAUUCAUUAACAAAAAUGGCAAAAGUCCUUUACAAAAUGAAAAAUUCAGCUAUUUAUAAACAGCACCUAAGUUAGCCGAAUGGUCACUUACAUCCCUUAAAAAAAAAGAGUCUGGAGACACUUCAACAAAAUUUUUUCCAAAAUCACAUUCUAUACUCCUUUAUAUCCAUCUUAGUGAAAUUUCACGCUAUUAAAAAAAAUUCAAGUGAUUCUUCUUUUCCAAUUAGUGAAUCCAUUUUAUAUGCCACAUCUUUAAACCUUUCUUUCUUUCGAGCCUACCCUAAACCAUACAAUUUUCCUUUGUUUAGUCCUUAAAGCCGACCCACAAGUGUGGAUAAAUCUAAGUAGCUUUUUAGAAUAUCGAGAGUUGGAUUUGAGUAAAAAGCAAGAGAGUACAUCAAGAUAAAAGCCGAAAAUAGAGUGAAAACACGAGAGGAGUGAAUUCUUUUCUUGUGAGAGAAAUUGUGAGGUUUUGUGGUGAGGAUAAUUUCCUAUUGUAAUCAUCAUGUCUAGGAGCCCGGAACGACGAGCAACAAGUGGAGGAGCCUCGAAUGCUACUGGUGGAGGAGUUAAUCUUCAACCGAGAAGGAAUGUUCCCGGAGGUGGAGUGCCUGAUCUUCAAGUGCAAGCAAUUAUACGAGAGAUCUCCCGAUUAUUCCAACCUCAAUUCGAUUCCCUUCAUGAACGAAUGGAACAAAUGGAGGAACGAAGCCAACGUGCCAACACCCCUCCUAUCCCGAGAAGAGAGCGAGAACGUCCAUGGCAACAUGCAAAUGAUCUAUAUGAAGCAAGUGACGUUGAAAGUGAUCGAGCUUCGCGACAAAGUGCAAGGCGACAAGGCCAACGAGCACGGGGACCAAGAGAUCGAGAGAGGACCGAUGAUGAUUUAAAGAACAUUAAAAUGGCGAUUCCUGCUUUUCAAGGAAGGUCAGAUCCCGAGGCCUAUCUUGAAUGGGAGAAGAAGGUGGAGUUAGUUUUCGAAUGCCACAAUUACUCGAAAAGCAAGAAGGUGAAGUUAGCUGCUAUAGAAUUCUCCGACUACGCCAUAAUAUGGUGGGAUCAACUCACGAUGAGCCGAAGACGCAAUGGAGAACGUCCCGUGUCUACAUGGGCGGAAAUGAAAGUGAUAAUGAGAAAACAAUUCAUACCGGCUUACUAUCACCGGGAAUUGUAUCAAAAGCUCCAAAGUCUAACUCAAGGCCAACGAAGCAUGGAGGAUUAUUACAAGGAAAUGGAAGUGGCCAUGAUCCGUGCCGAUGUGGAGGAAGAUCGAGAAGCCACUAUGGCUCGAUUUCUCACCGGCCUUAAUCGUGAUAUCGCCAAUAUUGUGGAGCUACACCACUAUGUCGAAGUCAUUGAUAUGGUCCAUAUGGCCAUAAAGGUUGAAAAACAAUUAAAGAGAAAAGGUACAUUCUGUUCUUUCCCUAAUACUUCUUCUACGACUAGGUGGGGGCAAGGGUCCAACAAAUGUGACUUACUGAUACGGGGUUGCACGCGGACCAAGAUCGAGUUGCCAAGUCACGGAAAACUCCUACGAAAACCCUAAACAAUCAGAUCUGAAACGAAACAGAAAAUUAAAAGAUUAGAACUUUGAAUUUCGAGAUCUGAAAUAAAAUCCCCAAAUCAGCAAAGAAUCAAAUUGAGAAUAGAAAUAAGUGUUAAUAAGGGUUCUUGAAACCCUAAAGGAGAUUGCGAUUCUGCCCAAUUGAAGACCAAGAUAGUUUUCCCCAAAUUUCGACAAUCUAAUUUCACCCAAAAAGAGUAUGGAAGAACCCUAGAAAUUGGGGAUUUUUGGGCUGAUUCCUUAAGAUAGAAAAAGGCUGAAAACACAAUAAAAAUAGAAAAUAAAUUAGAUAAAGAUUCAGCACAAGCAGAAAUAAAGAAAGAAUUGACAGCAAGAAAUUAAAAGAUAAGUCUUAAGAAGCCUUGAAAUCUCGAAAGAUCUCACAACUCCCUUCAAACGGCUCUAAUCUCCCCUCCAAAGAAUAUCAAUGGCAAGAAGAAGGUUGAAGAUGGCUCCCACAAUCAAAAGAUUGUUAAAACAACUUCAAAAGAAAACUCAAGAGAGAAAUCUUGGAGAAAACUCAAAGAAAAUUCUGCUCUCAAUAAAUCUGAAAUUUUAAUAAUUAUGAUAAGUGUUUAACAAGGUGGACAGCCAUACCUUUAAAUAGGUCUUAUAACUAGUCCUAAUCUAAUUAGAAAACUAAAAUAAAAAAAAACUCCUAAUUAUUUUAAUAUGGAAAUUCGGUCAAAGGUCAUUUUAUCUGGGACUCUUGGACUGAAUAUUGACAUAAAAAUUUAAACUAAGUAAAUAAAUAAAUAAAUAAAUAAAUAAAAAUAAAACUUUACAACUUGGGCCACUUUGACAAUUUGGCCUGAUUUUCAACUAAGUAUGGAUGGAUUUCUUGAUUGGGCUGGGAAUUUGCUUAUUGGGCCUCGCCUUCAAGAAUUUAGGCUUUUGUGACUCGUAUCAUUCCCCCUUCCUCAAAAAGAUUCGUCCUCGAAUCUGAAAAAUCAAAUGAACUCGACUUUCCUCUAUCGAACGGGACUAAUGGAAAUUGAGUCCACUGAAAAGAAUAGCCAUGAGAUAGUAAAUAGCAACGGAAACAAGCUUGUAGUCCAAUCAUAAGCAUAACAGAACAGGUAUAACGCAUGUGAAUGGACAGAUUCAUAUUACCAUGCAAACAAUCUAAUUUACUCACCACUGCCUCGUCAAAUAUUUGAAACAAAGAUGGACAUGUUUUAAGGCAUUCAGUCGUCUCACAUUGUUCCCACAAACCAUGAAUAAAUUGCGAGUAAUAAAUCAAAUGGUAAACAUAAUCGUCACAAGUAGGUAUUUGAAAAGAUUC